CUUCUGAUGAAAAACCAUGAAUAGGAAGUUUCUUUUCUUGACCAAUUUGGACUGCUGUAAUCAUAGUAGUAUAAGAAAGCCGUGGACUAUCUGAAACAGGCUUGGUGUCAGGAGUUUGAAAAGACAGUUUGACUUGGCCAUUUAAUCAUUUUUCAAACGUAGCUUCUGUAGUUUGAACUGGUUCAGAAUUUUGGUGGAAAUGCUCAUAGUUGGUUAGCCAUUCAAGAGGCAUGAGUUUGAGUAAUUCUUGUUUCUGGAUCUGUUUAGGAAUUUGGAUGAUGGUCGGUAUGGUGUCUGUAUCGGCAAGGAUCAUUAAGGCAUCAGAAGUAGUGUGUGGUGUGGGAAGGUCUAGCGCAUGAUUCUGUAAUCGAUACACUAUCUGGUGAUGUAGGGUUGCAAUCUUUGAUGUGGGUGUUUGUUCUGCUCCUUGGAGCUGGAUCUGGACCUUAAGGGUUGUUGGAAGAUUGGGAUCUUCAAGAGAGAGAUUGAAGUUUGGGUAAAAGGUUAAUAGGACACUUCCAGCAUGGAGUGUAGUCAAGAUGGUUCCUACAACAGCAUGUUGGUACUGUUUGAACCUGGUGUCUAAGAGAGCAAUUCUGGCUGUGACAGGUAAACCUUUUCGACCAUGAAGAGUGAGAAUUAAUCUUACACCACCGAGAUGGAGGUAUGUGUACCCUUCUCGUUUCCAGUUUGCGACGAGAUCUGAGGGUAUUUCUAAAAUGACAUAUUGUUCACUCUGAGAAGCUUGUAAAGCACACUGAUCCAGCCUAGAAGACUGAAUGUAUUCCUUUGGGAGUGGUCUUUUAGUGGAGAUCAAAGUUCGGAUACUUCUAGUAAUAGAAGUUUUCUGUCUGUAGAGAUUGUAAGGACUCAUGAUAGGAAACUGGGACUCAUUGAUUUGAGCCGACUCUGGAAUAUAGGAAUAUUCAACAAGAUUCUCUAUUUUGGAGGCUAUGUGUUUGGAACAUGAUUUGGGAAGAGAUAGAGUAGAAGAAAGAGAAAUAUGAGAUGAAGAUGAUGAAGGAGUUGAAGUUGAAGAUGUAUUUGUUUUCAUGGUUGAUGAAUCUUCUUCUAGGAGAUCAAAUAAUAUUAUUCGAAAUUACUAAUGAUACCACCUCUGUGUUGGUAUCUUUCCUAUUAGGGAAGAUUUAGAUUUAGAAUUGAUUUUUGGGUUAGGAUUUAUUUCCAAAAAUUCUUGUAACCAGCCCUAUAUAAAGUACUCAUAUUCAAUAAACAGAGAAGAAGUCUUUGAUGCAAUUAGUGAGAGAGUUAAUUCUCUGUUUCUUUACGAACUCUUUGAACUUAUCGGAUUUCCGUGGAGUUAAAAUUCUUGACUUAUCAAUCAAACUAUCGAUAGCUAAUUGUGGCGUCUUCACAUACCAAGGUUCGUGCUUUCAGUAAGCAUUGGGUCGAGGUUCCAUUCUGAUGUGAAUCCCACAAUGAAACUUUGAAACCCACACUUAAUUUGUAGUUUCAACUUCCCAAGAAAGUUCUAAACAGAUUUAUGACAAACAAAACCUUGACCCAAUGCUUAAGAAAACAUGAACCAAAGGUAUAGAGAAUGAUAUUGACGCCACACUCAAGAAAUAGAUGAGAAGGUGAGUGAUAAGUCUAAAUUUAGAACGCUACAAGAAUGCAAAUUCUUGAUAAGUUCACUAGUUCUCAAAAGAACCAAAGAAAGAAUAAUCUUUCAAAUUCAAAUAACAUUAAUCUCUAAUGUUCUUACAUACAAGGUUGCUGAAUUUAAAUAGGCUAAAAGAAACCUAAGAUCCUAAAAAUACAAAUGGAAACAUUGGAACAACCCUCCAAGUAGGUUUGUCAAAGGAUGCUUCAAAAGUCUUCACCAACCCACCAUAAUUAAUGCUAUCUUUGACAAACUUAAUGCUAGCCUACUAUAAUUAAUGCUAUCAUUGACAAACUUAAUGUUAGCCCACCAUCAUUGAUGGUAGACUUACCUUACACAUUGACAAACUUGAAACAAAACAAACAAAUGAAGUUGAAAAACAAAGGAGUCGUUGAAAAUCCCAAGUCUGAACAAGCUGUAAUGAAUUGGUCAUAACUCCUUCUAGAGAACUACAAAUCUAGCUCUGUAAAAUUUAUUGGAAAGCUAACUUAAUUAUCUUUCCAACGGUAUAUAGCUUCCCUUUGCCAAGAGUUCUUCAACUUGCCUUUGAAGCCCCUUUGUCUCCUCAAGGUUACUUCUAUAUGCGGGUUUAUUAGGAAUGGUAGCUCCAGGGACUAAGUCUAUUUGAUGCUCAAUUCCCCUAAUAGGUGGCAAACCAUUAGGAACUUCAAUUGGAAACACAUCAUCAAAGUCCUACAAAAGAGUCACAAUAGCACUAGGCAAAGAAAAGUUAAGCUCAUUAGUAUGUAAACAAGCCUCUUUGCACAAAAGUACAACGAUAGGCUGUUUAGAAAAGAAAGCCCUCUUAACCUCGCUCUCUUUUGCAAACAAGUUCACUUGAUGCCUCUCUUUUCUCUCAACAAUAUUUUUUUCUAUCUUUUCACUUGUUUUUCUCUCAAUCUCUCUUUCUUUUGUACUCUCAUUUUCUUUUUUUGUAUCACUCUCUUUUUGUAUUGACAUUUGAUCCUCAUACACUUGCCUAGGUGUUAAUGGUGCAAGAGUGAUUUGCUUUUUAUUCAUUACAAAAGAAUAUCUAUUGAAGUAACCAUCAUGUGUCACACGCCUAUCAUAUUGCCAAGGUCGCCCCAAAAGAAUGUGUCCAGCAUGCAUGGGUACAUCACAUAGAACUUCAUCCUUGUAUCUCCCAAUAGAGAAUGAAACCAGCACUUGUUUAUUUACUUUAACUUCCCCACAAUCAUUCAGCCACUGUAGCUUAUAUGGCCUAGGAUGUUUCAAAGUUUUCAAAUUCAAUUUUUCAACUAAACUAGUGCUAGCCACAUUAGUACAACUUCCACCAUCAACUAUCAUACUACAUACCUUAUCUUUGAUGUGGCAUCUAGUAUGAAAGAUGUUAUCACAUUGUACCUCUGCAUCUUCUUUUACUUGCACGUUGAGAGCACGCCUAACAACCAUUAAUUUACCAUCAACACGAUACUCUACACCAUCAUUAGCAUCCUCCAAAGGUGGCAUAGGUUCAUCAUCUGAUUCACUCUCGGUUUCAACAUCUCCAUCAUCCCUCAAGAUCAUUACUCUCUUAUUUGGGCAUUGAGAUGCAAUAUGACCUGUCCCCAAACAUUUAAAACACUUAAUAUCUCUAUUUCUAGAGUGUUGGGAAUCAGAUUUACCUUUGCUUUGGUUGCCUCCCUCUUUAUGAUCCUUGAAUGGCUUUAAAAUAGCCUUUUCAUCUUUGCUCCAUUUUGACGUCCAUGAGGAAGAUGAACCCAAAUUGGUUCCAAUGGAACCUUUCUUUUCCAGUUGUCGUUCCACUUUCAUGGCCAUGUGAACCACAUAGUGCUGCAAGUCAACCACAUUAGCAAUAUCUUGAUUUAAACCAUGUAAAAAUCUUGCCAUAGUGGCCUCUCGUUCUUCUUCAAUGUUGGCUCGAAUCAUGAUUAUUUCCAUCUCCUUGUGGUAAUCUUCCACACUUCUGGAACCUUGUGUAAGACUUUGAAGCCUUUGGUGCAUCUCCCUAUAAUAAUGACUAGGAACAAAUCUCCUCCUCAUGAUGGCCUUCAUCUCCUCCUAAGUGUUUAUAGGCCUUUCACAAUUUCUUCUCCUACUCAAAACAAGUUGAUCCCACCAAAUAAUAGCAUAAUCAGUAAAUUCAACAGCAGCUAGUUUUACAUUUUUCUCCUCAGAGUAGUUGUGGCAAUCAAAUACUAGCUCCACCUUUUUUUCCCACUCCAAAUAAACUAGGAAUUUUUAGUUUGAUACUCCCUAAAUCAUGAUCUAUACGCCUCGCCCUUCUAACAUCUCUUCCACGCAUGUCAACAGUGACCUGGUCAUCAAAAUUAUCUAAGUUAUCACCAUCUUCUUCUCCCAUGGCAGCACGCCAUUGAUUACCUCUUACAUUAGCAGCUAUUGGUUGUUGCCGCCUUUGUAGAUUGGCUAUGACAGUGUCUUGUCUCUCUAAUUUGUCAUGGAUCUCUCCAAACAUUAGAUUCAUGUGCUCAAAUUGUUGUUGCAUGGCCUUGAGCAUAAUUGAUUGGUCUAUAGCUUCUUGAUCUUUUGACAUAUUUGUGAUCUGAAAAGAAUGUUAGCAAAAAGACCUCACAACACUCCCUCACGUGUUUCACUCAAUUUGAUAUCACUUAACUCUCGUGUUUAACACACAAAUUGGCUUUAGGUUCAAGUUCAAGUCCUCAAGGAAUCCUUGUCAUGGAACAACGUCUUGAUUACACCAACGUCUUAUUCCAAGACGCUCAGGACCCAUGGGAAGAUUUUCAGUCCCUUCUCCAUACUAAAAAUCCCCAUUAUACUGUCACCACCCCAGAUUCUCCUGCUGCCUCUACAUCUCAGCAUACGACUGAAGCUGAUGAAGAAAAAUACCAGCAAGCUGAGGCGUAUCUCGACCACAGACAGAUAUGUCGGCACAAACGCCAAUAUGAGAAAGAUACAAGAGACGUGUCACCAUCGCGUUAUCCAUCCACUCCAUGAUACCGACUUAUCACCAUCGCACAAGCUUUUGAUGCAACAGCCCAUGUGACUCCCGUUUGUCUUUUGCUAAAGUCUUUGUCAGUGUGCUUUACUUUUGUUAAAGUCUUUGUCGGUGUGCUUUACUUUUGUAAAAGUCUUUGUUGGUGUGCUUACUUUCAAAAAAGGUGUGCUUUGGGCACCUGAUGCCUCAGUUGUAUGGGAGUUCAACAAAGAAAUAAAAAACUAAGUUUUCGAUCCAUCAUGUUUCCCUAAACCUUUCUCUCUCUUCUAGGAAUCAAAGAAAUUAUUUGAGUUAAUAAUGAUACGCUCACCUCUAAUUUUCAAUACUGAGUAUUUUCUGCACUUGCCUGAAGCAUCAGGAUCCUGUGCAUCAGAAAGGUCCUAUUUUUAUCCUCCAAAACCGAUUUUAUAAACUGGCAGUAUUUUCUCACAACGUUCACCCUCUUUAAAGGCCAUGAGCGCCGAGUUUUCGGAUGGUAUCGUGAAAAACUAUUUUCAAAUAUAAUUUUCGGAUUUGGUAUUAAAUGGAUAAGUGUAUAUCGGCUAGAAACCAGAACUUGCGGGCUACUGGCCCUAAGGACAGACUUAGUUCUGUUAUAGAUCUGGUGUAACAACGCCACGUACAACUACCCACUGGUAUUAGAGCCACACCCAACACAGAGAUGUAUCAUUAGUAAUUCCAAAUAAUAUUAUUUGAUCUCCUAGAAGAAGAUUCAUCAACUAUGGAAACAACUUCAUCUUCAACCUCAACUCCUUCAUCAUCCUCCUCUCAUAUUUCUCUUUCUUCUACUCUAUCUCUUCCAAAAUCAUGUUCUAAACAUGUUGCAUCCAAAAUUGAAAACCUUAUUGAAUAUUCCUAUAUCCCUGAGUCUGCCCAAAUCAAUGAAUCUCAGUUUCCCAUCAUGAGUCCUUACAAUCUCUAUAGACAAAAAACUUCUAUCACUAGAAGUAUUCACACUUUGAUCUCUACCAAAAGACCAUUACCAAAAGAAUACAUUCAGUCUUCUAGACUGGAUCAGUGUGCUUUACAAGCCUCUCAGAAUGAACAAUAUGUCACUUUAGAAAUACCCCCAAAUCUCGUCGCAAACUGGAAAUGAGAAGGGUACACGCACCUCCAUCUUGGUAGUGUAAGAUUGAUUCUCACUCUUCAUGGUCGAAAAGGCUUACCUGUUAGAGCCAAAAUUGCUCUUUUAGACACCAGGUUCAAACAGUAUCAACAUGCUGUUGUAGGAACUGUUUUGACCACACUUCAUGCUGGCAGUGUCUUAUUAACCUUUUACCCAAAUUUCAACCUCUCUCUUGAGGAUCCCAAUCUUCCAACAACUAUGAAGGUCCAAAUCUAGCUCCAAGGAGCAGAACAAACACCCACAUCAAAGAUUGCAACCCUCCAUCACCAAAUAGUGUAUCGAUUACAGAAUCAUGCACUAGACCUUCCCACACCACACACGACAUCUGACGCAUUAAUGAUCCUUGCCGACACAGACACAAUUCCGACCAUCAUCCAAAUUCCCAAACAAAUCCAGAAAUAAGAAUUGCUCAAACUCAUGCCUCUUGAAUGGCUAACCAACUAUGAGCACUUCCACCAAAAUUCUGAACCAGUUCAAACAACAGAAGCUACGUUUGAAAGAUGACAAAAUGGCCAAGUCAAACUGCCUUUUCAAACUCCUGACACCAAGCCUAUUUCAGACAGUCCAAGGCUUUCUUACACUGCUAUGAUUACAACAGUCCAAUCUGGUCAAGAAAAGAAACUUCCCAUUCAUGGUUUCUCAUCCGAAGGAUAUCCAGUAUAUCAAAAAAAAAUCAACGGUCAUUUUCUAUGGGAGGUUCCUGAAGCCCAUAUGUGUAAUCCGGAUUGUCCUUGCUUGGAUGAUACGGACGUUGAUGACGAAUUGGAAGUUAUGCGGAGAAAGAAAAAGAAGAAGAAAAAAUCUUCUUAUCCUAAACCAUCUUACCAAAUCCCAAACCUCCUGUCCAUCCAAUCAGAUCAUGCCUGAUGUUUUCAAGUCAAUCUUUAUCUUUCCUUUGUGUCCUUAUCUAAUUGAGAAACCUUUGCCUUCUAUGAUAUAGGCACCUACAUUAGAGCUUAAACUUCUUUUAGAUCAUUUUAAAUAUCAUGCAUCAAUGCAUCCUGAUUAAUAUGAGAGGGUUCAAGUCAAGUUGAUGAUACUAAACCAAGAGUUACUUGGGAGGCAACCCAAUGAGAAAGCACAAUAACCUCUUACUUUAUUUUCAUUUUCAAUCAUUUACUUUUCUGUUUGUUUAAUGCUUGUUUAUGUUAUGUGUUUAAUCCCUUUCCUCUACUUUAAUCCUCUCAUUGGAUGAGUUUGUUUCCUUGAGGACUGUGUAAGGAUUAAGUUAGAAGCCUUUUGCUUUGUUUGCUUGUUUUUCCAUCACGUUACAGACGGAAUAAUUGCUUGUUUUUACAUUACAUUACAAAUUUGAAUAACAAAAAAAACCAAAAAUAUUAGAAUUUUUUUCUCUCUAUCUUAUUUCUUUUGUGUUUUGGUUUGAUGAUUCACAUUGUCUUUGUUUAUGCUUGAUUCAUGUAUUGAUUUCAUCUUCAUUAUGAUUCUUUACAGCAACUGAGCAAGCAUAAUUUCUUAAUGGCAUAAAAAUUUUCCUCAACCAUCCUUUUAACAUACUCCUCAUGUUGGCCGCUAUAGUUGGCAUUACCUAGCGCAAAUCUUUUACAUCAAUCCUCACUACAAGGACUAUUAGUUUAACACAUAAACAAAGAAUAUCAGAAAACUAAAAUUACUUUAAAGAAUAUCAGAAAACUAAAAUUACUUUAGUUUUUCUCUCAUAUCAAAGGCUACAUAUGUCAAAAAUAUGAACUAAAAAUAAUAGUAUAUGGAUAUUGUAAUUAAAAAGAAAUAGACAUGCACUCUGUAUUAAAUUGAUCACAACUGUAAAGCCAAAUUGCAAUAACAUAACUUAUUAAUNNNNNNNNNNNNNNNNNNNNNNNNNNNNNNNNNNNNNNNNNNNNNNNNNNNNNNNNNNNNNNNNNNNNNNNNNNNNNNNNNNNNNNNNNNNNNNNNNNNNAAGCUGUAGAUAAUAAUUCCCUCAAUUAACAACAAUAGCAAAUAGAAUGAUGCAAUUUAUCAAUUUGCUAAAACGAAACAUAAAAUUGACAAAAAAAAGGGAAAAAUAUUAAUAUAAAUCUGAACAAUGUGAAAUAUAAGGACACGCGGGAAUGAAAUUUAAAAAAAUGUACAAAGUUCAUGGCAAAAGAGUAAGAGCAUGGAAGAAGUUGAGUGAUAACAACACCAGAGAGUGCAUGGUUGUGAAAAACCCUCAUUGAUUUUUAUAUAUGCGUCCAAACUCUUAAUCUCGUUUAUUAUAGCAUCCGUGUGCAAAAACAUAGAGUAUUAGCUGCAAUUUAAUUGAAUGUGAAGACUAGGUAUCUUCGUAUGACAGUGAGUGUAAUGAUGAAGGCUAAUUAUUUUCAAGUAACAAGGAUUUUGCUCUACUGGAGAGGCUUUUCUGGAGACUCACUCAUUGGUAGUCAAUGAGAGUUAAGUUUUGGGUGCAUGUAUUUGGGUAAUCGUAGCGAUCAAGGUCUGGAUUCUAUUUGAUAGGCAAGGUUUGGCUUUGAUGAGCUUUGUUUGACUUCAAAUGCAGAGCAACGAGGUGAAGGGAAACAACGGCUAAUCAACGGCAAGUGAUGGUUAGUAAGAGGGAGUUGUCUUUGAGAGAGAGCACCGUUUGAGAAAGGGUUGUGAGUGUGAAUGUGUGUAUUACACACUUGAUGUACAAAAAAAAGUGUGAAGGUUGUUUUGAUUUGUGCAUGAAAUGAUGUCGUUUUAGUAGGGUAUGAAAUGGAGUCAUUUAACUUUUCAGUGUUUUAAGUUUUGUUUCCCUUUUAUUUUAUUUGUUUAGGUUAGUCAAACUUACUGUCAAACUCAAAUUCAAAAUGAAAAUCUAUUGUAAAUACAUGGUAGAAAAAAUUUACAUUGCUAAUGAGUUAAAAAUAUUUGACAGCCUCAAAAUUUAUAAUAACUACAUAUACUAUAUUUUCAUGAUAAAAGUAAAUUUUGUCACAUCUAUCAUCUAUCAUAUGUUUGUAAUACAAACCCUCUUGUCCAAAAACUAUCACAUGGGGAUUGUCGUUUAAGGUCAUCGUUCUUGUAGUGGAAGUGUUGAAUGUGAUAGCAAAUUGGCAAUGAAACUUUGAAGCUUCUUUUAUAUAUGAUUGUGUGUUGUUGCUUUCUUGUUUUAUUUAUUUUGAGCUAACAAGUCCCUUUAGUAUUAAAAUAAUAAUAAUAAUAUUUAAUAUUUAAUUAUAAGAGAAAUAAUGACAUAAGUGAUGAUGCAAUACUUAGACAUAAGCAAUGACAUAAGUGAUGAUGUAAGACAAGUUUGUAGAGAUAGAUAAGAAUUCUAGAAUUUAGUAAAGUAUUUAUGAAGGAUAAUCUCAACCAUUGAUCAAGAGUUAUGGUGGCAAAAUCCUAGCCAUCCAUUAGCCUUAAGAAAUCCUAUCAAUACCCCCUAGCCCCUUUCAUUUGCAAUCCAACCUAGGAAUUAAAACAUUUGUUUAGGAGAGAAUCAAAGCGAUUGGUAAGUUUACUCUUCUUAUUCUCCACAAGAUUUCCAAUCACUCUAUCUAGGGUUUAUAUUAGCAUGAUUUUAGAUUGUUACAGAUCAUAAUACAUGAUUUAAGGUGUGUUUAGGUUCUGUUUGGCAUUAUGAUUUAUUGUGGGUUUUAUUAAUCAACCCUUGGUGCAUUAAGCACACUGGACAAAUUCUAGACAAUAUGAGUAUCUCGAAUUCAAAUGUAUAUUUUCUGAACAAUUUUUCUUACGAACUUUAUAUUUCUAAAAACUAGGCAUGUAGGGCUUAUUGAUUAAAUUUUUUUUCAUAAGAUUUGACUUUGUUUUCAAUUUUAUAUGGAUUUUUGAAACUGAUACUAAUACACUGGAAAACUGUGAUUCCAGCAAGGUGAUUAGAUUCACAAACUUAUUUGUACUAUUAAACUCGAAACAUUCUGACAUUUUAUAAUUUUUUUUAAUUAGUAUAUGAUUUUAUAAAAAUCUCAGAACACGUUCUGUUCGGUUAAGGUACUAUUAAACAGUUUCGAAUUUGUCAAGUAAUAAAUAGUCUUGAAAAUAUUUUUGGUAUCGGAUCCUCUUGAAAAAUUAUAUGAGGUACCCAUGGAUGUCUAGAAUGGUUCUAUAGAAUAUUAUGUCAUUUUGAUUUUUAGGUUAAGAGUUAAAAUUCUGAGAAUCAGACUAGUAUGGGUAUGAAUUAGAAAAUCAGAUUCUUAGGAUAAGUUAUUGAUAGUUAUAUCUUAUCUUAUACUUGUUAAGGUGUUGAAGGUGAUUGAGGCUUUUAGAGACUUUGAGGUGUGUUAGUUCAAAUUCCUUUCUUGAGGUAAGAAACUUCAUUACUACUUAGAAGAUUAAUAGAUUUUCAUAAACAAAUCAGUUUAUAAAAAUGUUUCCAAAUCUAAAUUCUUUUAACAAAAUAUUUUAUAAAUGCUUUUCAAUAUCUAAAUUAUUUUAUGACAUGACUACCUUUUAUAAUUUUGUCUAUGAAAUAUUUUCAAGCCUAAAUUGUUGCUAUGGACUUUCAUGAAUCUGAUAUGAAUAUUUUGUGCUUAUGUAUGAUUUCAAUUAUUUAUGAUUUUAUGGGGACCACCUCUUGAGACAAUAUGGGGGCCACCUCUUGAGGGCUAAAGCAUCACAAAGUGUCACAUAUAGUGUAAAGUGCCACGUAUAAGUCAUUAUAUUUUGGCUCAUUGUCCGUAGUUAUUCUGAUUCUGAUUCUGAUUGUAUUAUACGACAUAUUUGUUCUGGACCAGUACUGGAUUUCUGUUCUGAGUGUGCACACGAUAUUCUGAUUCUGUUUUGGUCGAGUCACCUGGACUAUAGGUGACACUAUGUGACAUGAGCUAACCAUCUGCUUUCUAUGUACGUGUUAUAUGAUUUGCUUUCAUAAUUGAUUAUUCUUUUGAUAUUAUGAAUUACCAUGAAUUUAUGUCAUCUUAUUGAAAUAAUUACCAUGAAUUUAUUAAUCUGUAACAUAUGUUUUUAAUGAAAGAAGGCUUGCAAUAUUUUUGGUAUCGAUACAGCUAGUGUGUUAGGAAUGAUUUUACUUACUGAGUGGACGGCUCACCCCUCGUCAUUAUUUUUUUUGCAGAUUAAGUUCCUUUUGAGAAGUGUGCUUAGCUUUGGAGUUAAUGAUUUCGUUUCCUUUUGCUAUUUGAAUAAGAGAAGAAAUAGACUCAUGUUUCAUUUUAGUAUAUUUCUGUAAUGAACUUGUAAUUUGGAGUUUUGAGAUUUUUGUUAUUUUUAUGUUUCAGAAGGGAUUGUUUAGUGUUAGACGUAUGAAUUUGUGGAUUUAUUUGAAUAAGAAUUUGAGGUAUUUCAGUUUGAAAUUUAUGAGUAAGGAUUAGGAUUUGUAAGUAACCUCCUUCUUCAUGUGCUCCGCACGUGUUAGAUUUGGGGUGUUACAUGUUGUAACUUGUAGUGGAUUUCUAGACUAUGUAAUUUUAUUUCAUGUUGUACUUGGUGUGUAAAUUUGGUGAAGCCAAUUUAAGAGUGCCAAAUGGACUAAAGGAGAGAAAAUAGAAGGAUGACAUGUAUCCUCAGAUAAAAUAAUCUCCUAAAGGAGACUAAGGGAUAUUGUUGAUGGUUAAUUUUGGGCUAAUGAUAGAAGGACAUGUGUCAGAUGAGAAGGAUAUUUGAAGGAAGCAUCAAGUAGGAAAGGGCUUUAGGCUCCAAUAAGAGGACUACCAUCCGAGGACUAAGAGUAAUGAUAAGUGCUUAAUUUUACAUAUGUUUUUAUUACUUUCUUUGUUGUAAUCUUUAUAUUAAUCUUUCCAUGUUUUACAAGAGUUUUUGACCCAAAGAAACAAAAAGGAAUAGAAAACUAUAAGCUAGUGUAGAGAAUUGCCAGAAUGCGACUUCAUAAAUUUUGAUUGCUUCUUGAAAGAAUCUUUGAGUUUUAUUUACUUUAUUGGGCUAUAUCAAACAUCUAAUAAGGUUGAGGAUUAGAUUUUAGCUAUAAAGAUUGAUUUUUGAAAGGUUGGUUGGAUUUCCAAAUUAGGCCUACAAUAAAAAUGGAUUUUGCAACUAUUUUGACAAAUAAGCCUAUUUCCUUUGGUAAAAAUCCAAUUCUUGUAAGGAAGGGAGGUAAAAAAACGACUUUCAUUAUUCUUACAAGGAUUAGGAUAUCAACUCUUUAUAAGGAAACAAGUUAGACGCCCUUGAGAGAGAAGAAACAUGAAGAAUCAACUAUAAAAGAGAGGAGAUUGCAAGGAAGAAAGGGGUAGGCAAAUUAAAUAGAGGACUUGGCUAACAUAUCUAUAAUUCAAUCCAUAAGCUUUUAUUUUUCUUGUCUUUUUUUACUUUUCUUUUAAUGGAUUUGAUAUUGAACAAUUUAAACACGUGAAAGUAAUUUAGUUAUUGGCUAGGGUUGAUUUCAAAACCCUAGACUUGAAUUUUUAUUCAUCUUUCACUAGAAAAUUUUAUGUUUCACUAAUUUUAAUGUUUAAAAUUUUCUAUCUUGUUUGUUUAGUUGGCCAACUAGAUGAAUUUGAUGGUGAUUUUGAUUGUUAAUUUAGGGUCUUUGAUGUCAAAGAACUAAACCUAAGUGGCAAAUUGUUAUCAAAAUUAUGGGAUAUUUUCUUUUGAUUGCACGUGGAAUAUAAUUCAAGAUAAACAAAUCAAGCUUGUGUGUAUUAUGCCAUCAAUGUUGCCUUUAUAGUAUCAUUUUAGGUAGGUCUUCCACAUACAAUCAAACAAAAAUAUCCUAUAAUCUUGAUCAGAAUCUGCCAGUUAGGCUUAGUUCUUUGAAAAUUAUGGUUUAUAACCCUAAACUAAUAAUCAAAUAUAAAAUUUUUGAACACUAAAAUCAGUUAAAUAUAAAAUUUUCUAGAGAAAGAUGAAGAAAUUUUGAUUGUUGAAACUUUAAUAAUAAAAAUCUGUAUCAAUCGGACGCCGGUGAUGAUUACUAGAGUGCCGUCCCUCCAUUAACUGCUCGGAUAAGUUUUAAGUGUUUUUCCCAACAAUCAGAGGGAAGGACAGAAGGAUCAAUCAUAUUGGUAUCUGCACCAGUGUCAAUAAACCCAAUGACAGGAACAGGUUUAUGAAAUUUUGAAGGAAGGAAUGAGGACUGGUUUAACAGGAACAACCAGCUUUGUAGCAUACAGAGUGGUGAGGCACCAUAAGUACCAUAAAUAGCGUGUCUCAUUUCUGUGCCUAUGCCAGCGGACAAUUCCAGGAAUCUGAAAAGAAUUACCAUGUGAUCUACAAAGAGAUUUUGGCGGUCAAGUAUGGAAUCAAAAAAUUUGAAUUUCAUCUCAUCAGCCAUAAAUUCCUUAUUAACAUGGACAACUCCUCUUUUCCUAGAAUCUUUGACUUCAAAAAUAAGUUGCUCCCAGACAAACAGUUGCUCAGCCUCAAAAACUAGUUUGCUAAGUAUGACUUUACUGUCCAGCACAUAAAAGGUAAACAGAACCUCAUCCCAUCAAUCAUACUGGUAUCUGUACCAGUGUCAAUAAACCCGAUGACAGGAACAAGAUUAUGAAAUUUUGAAGGAAGGAUUGACAUUUUGAGAGAAGGUCUAGGAAUGGGAUGUACAUACAUCGACAAGACCGUAUCUUAUUGUACGUGGCGUUGUUACACUAGAUCUAUAACAGAACAAAGUCUAUCCUUAGGGCCAAUAGCCCACAAGUUCUGGUUUCAAGCCGAUAUACACUUAUCCAUCAAAUACCAAAUCCGAAAAUCAUAUUCGAAAAUAGUUUUUCACGAUAAUAAUUUUAUUUUACAAAAAUCAGUUUUGGAGGAUAAAACAGGACCUUUCUGAUGCACAGGAUCCUUAGGCUUAAGGCAAGUGCAGAGCAUACUCAAUUUAGAAAAUUAGAGAUGAGCGUAUCAUUAUUAACAAAAAAAAUUUCUUUGAUUCCUAGAAGAGAGAAAAAGUUUAGAGAAACAUGAUGUGAAGAAAACCUGGAUUUUAUUUCUAAUUAACUUCUGCCUUACAAAGGGAUAGAGAGAUCCUUAUAUAGAGAUCUUGAGGGAGGAGAGAUAAGGUGGGGCCCUUAUCUUUUACAAAAGCAUAAUAAUUAAAGCACACCACGCCAAACGAGAAAAAGCAUAAAACAAACUUUAGACAAGACAGGACCCUUGUCUAAUUAUUAAAGCAAACUUUGCAAAAAGCAAAAACAUAAAAAGCAAAAGCAAGAAAUUCCCAUGCGUGUCUGCAAUCAUGGAGUGGAUGGGUAGUGUGAUGGAGACAUAUCACCAGUUGCUUUUUCAUAUUGGCGCGCUUGGCACGACGAAUUUGUCUCUGAUCAAGAUACGCUUCAACUUGCAGAUAUGCUUCUUCAUCAGCGUCAGUCAUCUCUUUUGGUGCUGAUGGUGCAGAAGCAUCUGGGUUUGUGACUGUGUAAUGGGAAUUUUCAGUAUGGAGAAGAGACUAAAAAUCUUCCCAUGGAUCCUGAGCGUCUUGGAAUAAGACGUUUGUGUAAUCAGGACGUUGUUCCAUGACAAGGAUUCCUUGAGGACUUGAACUGGAACUUGGAGUACAAGCUUGGUUCUUUGGAAUAAUUUCCAAGGUGUGUGAUGGUCCAACAGAUGUGUGGUGGAUGUUUGUGGCAGGUGGCGAAACAUUGUUGAGUUCCAUUAGGUAUGACUGGAGAACCGAGGUAACAAUUGUGUCAUGGAUGAGGGUAUAAGGAUGGGGAUAAGUCUUCCAUUCAUAGGCCAUGUCUUGUGUCCAGAAGUUCUUUGUUUCUGGGUGUUGGAAGUAAGGUCUGUGAAUGAUGAAGACUGUAGUGAACAUGUUGGCUUCUUGUUCUGGCAUUCUGUCUAAUCUGUGAAAAGUACACAGAUUUUUGAGUUGUUUACGCCACCAUGUGAGUGUGGAAUACCAUUUUAGGAGAGUCCAGAGAAGAUCUGAAGAGAACUCAGGAGUAGUGAUGUGAGUGAGGACUAGUUUAACAGGAACAACCAGCUUUGUAGCAUACAGAGUGGUGAGGCACCACAUGUACCAUAACUCAUCUUCACAUAUGGUUAAGGAAGAGAGGGUGAGGCUUGUUAGAAAUAGGUUUUCUAGACAGAGGGAAGGAAAGCGAUCAGGCUUUUUGCUUUGACCAUUGAAGAAAUACCAGUAAAGGAAUUUCUUUGCAAAAUCUUGGAGCUGGUAGGCUAAGUGAAAGGGAAUGUUCAUGGGAAAGGUUCUCUGGUUGAGAGCUUUGAAAGGAAGUUGACAGUUCAUGGCUAUAACUAGGAUGGUGUGAAUUGAGGAAAUAAGUGAGGGUUUAUUUAUAGCCGGACAUGUAAGGAAAUCUGGGAUGAGGUUUUGUUUACCUUUUAUGUGCUGGACAGUAAAGUCAUACUUAGCAAACCAGUUUUUGAGGCUGAGCAACUGUUUGUCAGGGAGCAACUUAUUUUUGAAGUCAAAGAUUCUAGGAAAAGAGGGGUUGUCCAUGUUGAUAAGGAAUUUAUGGUUGAUGAGAUGAAAUUCAAAUUUUUUGAUUCCAUACUUGACUGCCAAAAUCUCUUUGUAGAUCACAUGGUAAUUCUUUUCAGAUUUCUUGAAUUGUCCGCUGGCAUAGGCACAGAAAUGAGACACGCCAUUUAUUUCUUCAAGAAGGACAGCACUCCAGUAAUCAUCACUGGCGUCCAUUUGUAAAAUGCGCUGUCCAGUUGUGGGGAUUCGGAGAGGAGGAGGUGAUUGGGCUAUCAGCUUUUGUCUGUGCUGGUCCCCAUGAAGGGCACUGUUUUUUGAGCAUGUGCGACAACUGGCUUGUGUGGACUGCAACUUUAGGGAUGAAAUCAUGGACAUAAUUAACAAUCCCGAGGAAUUGUUGUAUCUGCUUUUUGGUGAGAUGUGUGUCCGGGAACUUUAAUAAUUCAGUUGCAAUGUGUGGACCAGGUUGGUAAUGGCCAUCUUUAAUCACUAUGCCAAGAAAGUCAAUUGAUUCUUUCGUUAUGCUGCUUUUCUUUUCAGAAAGCAUGAUUCCGUGUUCCUGCACAAUAUGAAAGAAAUCCAAAAGGAGCUUCUGGUGGCUCUCAUGAUCAGAGGAAAAUAAUAAGAUAUCAUCAAUAUAAACCAAAGCAUGAUGAAGGAUAGGACUGAAGAUUUUUGUCAUGGCUUUUUGAAAUAAUGAAGGAGCAACCUUAAGACCAAAAGACAUAACAGUCCACUGAUAAUGGGCAUCAGGGAUGUAGAAGGCAGUUUUGUGACGGUCAACUGGUGAAAUACCAAGUUUCCAAAAACCAGCUUUUAAAUCAAACUUAGAGAAGAUACUAGCCCCUUGAAGAUGGACAAACAAGGUUUGGAUUUUUGGAAGGGAGAACUUAUCAUCUUUAAGGAAAGAAUUAAGUGGCUGGUAAUCAAUAACUAACCUCUUUUUUCCACGAACUAAUUUAGAUCUUUUUUCAACAUAGAAGGCUUGACAAGCCCAAUCUGAAUCAGUAGGUUCGAUAAGACCUUGCUGAAGCAAUUGAGAACAUUCUUGCUUAGCAAGUAAGAGGUCUGAAGGAGACAUGUUCGAAUGAGAUGCUUUUGUGGGAUUGAUAUCUUCAUUGAGUUUGAAUGGAAGGUGAAUGAAGAAUUGUUCAUUCUUCCAAAUAGGUGAAGGAUGGUGAAACUGUGAAUGGUUUUCUGGACAAAAUUCUAGGAACUUUUUUGAAAUAUGACUGUAUGAAGAUGGUGUUUCUGAAAGUGUAUACAGACGUAGUGUUUCUGUAUAAGGCAAGAACAUUUGCUUGUAGCGAACUCCAGAACUAGUGAGGAAUAGGUUUUUAACCAAAUGAAGAAUGUCAAAACCUAUAAGUAAAUCUUUAUCUGGGAGUUUGGAUGCUACAAUCUUUUUCCAAAUUAUGCAAUUUCGGAAAGAAUUGAAUACCAAUGGGUUUUUUGGUAAUCAAAGUGGUAAUCAAGUGUUUUUCCCAACAAUCAGAGGGAAGGACAGAAGGAUCAAUCAUACUGGUAUCUGCACCAGUGUCAAUAAACCCGAUGACAGGAAUAGGUUUAUGAAAUUUUGAAGGAAGGAUUGACAUUUUGAGAGAAGGUCUAGGAAUGGUUGAAACAUGGUUGACAGUUUGGACCGUAGAGAUGACUGAAAUAUCAUCAGAAUCAGAAGAUUCUGUGAUAAUGAAAGCAGUCUGGUCAUCUUGUUCUGAUUGUUCAGAAAAAUUUGAUUCAACAUCUUCAUUUUCAGAUAACAGGGAAGAAUGCUGAAGAUGUUGUAUGAGACGAAUAGCUUUGGCAGAUUUGUGAGGAUAGUUUCGAGCAAAGUGACCGCGUUUCUUGCAGAUGAAACAACAGUUAUGCUUUUUCUUUAUGUACUGGGAAACAUCCUUUUUCUUGAAAUACUGGAAAGGCUUUUUGGAGGAUGAUUUUUUGUGGAAGUGUUUCUGAAAAUGUCUUUUCUUCUUGGUCGAACAAACGCACUUCUUUUCAUCUUUGCACUCUAUCUUGAGAUAGGGUUUUUUACAGGCUUCAGAAAAGGAUUUUUUGUCUUCCAUGAGAUCUUUGAAAAAUUCUUUUUGCUCACAGAUCUUGUCGAGACAUAGCAUUGCCAUUUGGAAAAUCUUUCCCAGAGAGAUGUCAGCUAUGCUGAGAUUAGUGGCUGUAAGUUUUCUUUGAAGAUCAGGUUGUAACUCAGAAGGAAGUGAGGCUAUGAAGACAUGUUUGAGAGAAGGUUCAUUGAACCCAUUCAGCUUGUAAAAUAGAAUACUCAUUCUUUUGUAAUGAGAUUCUAAAAGAUGUCUUUUGAGAGAACAGCACUUCAUCUUAUGAUACUCUUUUCUGUCUGCAUCAGUGGAGGCAGUUUUUUCACCGAUGAACUGUUCAUGGAUGAUAUUGAGUGUUGUACCAAUUGGUGAUUGCAUGAAUUGGAGCUGUCUGUAUUCUCCCAAGCUUUCUAACCAAUCUCGUAAAGAACCCGUGGAUCGGGCCAUGAAUUCUCAGAGAACAGCUUGAGGUUAAGUAUUUGGCUUUGUUCCUUAGAGAUCAAUCCAUGCAGCAAAUUCUUGAAGUCUGGUAGACCAUUUGUGACGAGGAAUGUCAUCAAAUAUAAACCAAGAUGCUGAAGAUGAUUUUGUUGAGUGAUGAGGAGUUGGUGGUGGCAUUGGUGGUACUGGUUCUAUCUGAGAUGCUUAAUUUUCAUCACCAGAAGGAUUGUUGUCAACAAUAGGAGUUGAAGUAGAAGCACCUGGAUCUUCAGUUUCGGUUGCCAUUAAUAUGCUUGUAAUGUCAGCAUAUUCUGAUUCAGAGUCAGUGGGGGUACUGGAUGAGUUUAUGGAUGAGGAAGAGGAAGAUGGAUUUGAUUCUGAUGGGUUUGACUCAUACACUGUUUCUUAGUAUGAUAAUAAUACUAGUCCAUUGGUCUUUUAUCUUUUUUAGGAGAUUCAGGAGUGGCUUUUGGUGAAUCGUCUGGAGGUACUGAAGGAACAGAUGAAGAUGAAGUGGCCUUUGACUUUGGUUUUGAAAUUUUGACUUUGGAUUUUGAUUUCUUGGGUGAAGAUGGCUUUGGUUGAGCAGUUGGUUGAAGGUGUGAGAAUCCAAAGAACUGGUUGUAAACAAGUUGUUAAGGUCUAGAUGGUGUGUAGAAAGGUGCAUAAGUUUCAAACAUUUGAGGAGGUACUACUGUGGUUUGUGUUUGAGUAAAAAGUGAUGGACGAGCCUUUUCAGCAUCAAUUCUUGCCAAUUCAACUUUGAGCUUUCUGAUCUCUGCUUCUUUUUUAUUAAACUUUGGACCCCAGAUGUGAUGGUUGAUCAUUCGUCUGAGAUCAGUAUCUAAUUCAGAGAUACGGUCUUGUAGAUGUAUGUACAUCUGAUCAAGACGAUUGCUGAUUGAAUCAACUUUAGUUUAUGUCUGGGAGACUUGACUGGCAACUCAAUCAAUUUUCUUUCCGAGUUGUUAAAGAGUUUGAUUCUGAGCAUUGGCAUUUUUGGUUUGCCAAUUUAAAACAGCUUCAUACUGUUUUGGUUCUUCAGGCUACCCAGAGGCUGUAACUGGGGAUUGAACAAAAGGUUUUGAGAUAACUCUAGUUUGUGUGUCUAUCUGUUUUUCAAGUGGAGGGAACGAUUCCUCAUAAGAUUGACUUGAAAACAUUAGGCAUGAUCUUAUUUGGUGGAUAGGAGGUUUGGGAUCUGGUGGAGGUUGUGGAGGAAAGGUUUUGCAAGAUGUUUUUGGAGAAGAAGGUUUUUUCUUUUUCUUUCUCCUCAUAAUUUCCAGUUCAUCAUCAAUAUCCGUGUCGUCCAAGCAAGGACAAUCUGGAUUGCACAUAUGGGCUUCAGGGACAUCCCAUAGAAAAUGACCAUUGAUUUUGUCAGGAUAUACUGGAUACCCUUCUGAUGAGAAACCAUGAAUGGGGAGUUUCUUUUCUUGACCAGUUUGAACUGCUAUAAUCAUAGCAGUGUAGGAAAGCCUUGGAGCAUCUGAAACAGGCUUGGUUUCAGGUAUUUGGAAGAAUAGUUGGACUUGACCAUUUUAUCGUCUUUCAAACGUGGCUUCUAUUGUCUGAACUGGUUCAGAGUUUUGGUGGAAAUGCUCAUAAUUGGUCAGCCAUUCAAGAGGCAUGAGUUGAUGCUGAAAAGGCUCGUCCAUCACUUUUUACUCAAACACAAACCACACCAAUACCUCUUCCAAUGUUUGAAACUUAUGCACCUUUCUACACACCAUCUAGACCUCAACAACCUGUUUAAACAAAAACAAAAAGAAAAUUAAACAAAAGAGAAGAGAAAGAAAUGUUUAUUGAUUGAAUUAUAGCUAUGGCAGCCAAGUCUUCUCUCCAAUUUCCCACCCAUCUUUUCCUUGCAUUCUUCUCUUCUUUGGAACUAAUUAUUCACUUUUUUUUUUCUUAGGACGUUUAAUUGUUGUCCAAAUAUAUAAUUGUUGUCCAAAUCCUUUUAGGAAUAAUGAAGCUCGUUUUGGACCUCUUUUCCCUUUCAAGAAUAGGAUUCUGACCCAAGGAAAUAGGUACCUGUUGCAAAAUAACUCCAAAAUUAGUUUUUGUUGUAGGCUCAAUUAAUAAAUCUAACUAGGGUGAUGUGAACCUUAAAAAGAUCAAUGAGGUUCUUUUGCCAAGUAUCUUUCUAAUUUAGAUUAAAAAAACCAUAAAAUAAAGACUCUGACUGUGAAGUACAAUUUUCUCACUUAAAUAUAAUAGAAUUUAUUUUAAGCUAACAACCUCUGGAGCACCAGAAGCACCAAAGCAGUAUGAAGCAGUGCUCAACUGGCAAACCCAAAAUGCCAGUGCUCAGAAUCAAGCUCGUCACCAUCUUGGUAAAAAGAUUGAUAAAAUGGCAUCACAUGUGUCACAAACAUAAACAAAGGUGGACAAUAUUAUUGCCCGACUUGAACAAAUUUAUUCAAAUCUGCAGAACAGAAUCUCUGAAUUGGAUAUUGAUCUCAGAACGAUGAUCAACAAUCGUAUUUGGGGUCCCGAAAACAAUAAGAAAGAAGCAGAGAUCAGACAGUUAAAGGCAGAAUUGGCCAGAAUUGAUGCUGACAAAGCACAACCUUCACUUUUCACCAAAACACAAUCCAUUCUGAUACCAGCCCCACUGUUCACAUCAUACCAACCUUUUUACACUCAUUCUAAACAGUCAACUUACGACCAAUUCUUUGGUCUUUCCCAUCUUCAUAAUAUCCGUUCCGUUCCACCACCAAAAACUACUUCACCAAAAAGAUCCAAAUCAAAAGUCAAGAUCUCAAAACCUCCACCCAAGGAAGAUCUUCAAGUUCCAGAAGACUCUCCUAAAGCAACUCCUGAACCUCCAAAGAAAGACAAAGCUCCAGCUUACCAAUACCAUUAUCAACCUCAAAAGAAAGUUUACCCUCUACAGAGAUACUCAGUUCCUCUUAACAAACUUCUUCAGACUCCGAGUCUCAAUAUGCAGAUAUUUAUGGUCUUUUAAUGGCCACAAAAACAGAAGAUCCUAAUACAUCCACUCCUGUUGUCAACACUCCUAUUGUCGACGAAUCUUCUGAUGAUAAUGAUGAUGUCCAAGGCUCACAAACAGAACCGGCUCCCUCUGUUCCUCCGGUUUCUACAAAGCCUCCCAAACCAUCUUCUUCCCCAUGGUUUACAUUUGAUGACAUCCCUCGUCACAAAUGGUAGGCUCGACAUCAAGAAUUUACUGCAAGGAUUGAUGUGAAAAUGACAAGUCCUAAUGCACAAUCUCAUAAUGUUCUCCGUGAGUUUUGUUCCAGAUUCACUGGAUCUCUACGAGAUUGGUUUGAAAGUCUAGGCGAAUACAGACAACUCCAAUUGAUUCAAACCACCAUUCCAAUAGCUCUUGCAGUCAUUUAUGAGCAGUUUAUUGGGGAACCAGCAGCAUCAACUGAAGCAUCUCGAAAAGAAUAUCACCAGAUGAAAUGUUGUUCUCUUAAACGACAUCACCUGGAAAUGCAUUACAAAAGGAUGAGCAUGCUUUAUUACAAACUGAAUGGAUUCAAUGAUCCAUCUUUAAAGCAUGUCUUUGCUGCAUCUUUACCACCAGAGCUUCAGCCAAAGCUUCAAAGGCAACUGAAAGCCUUUAAUCUUGACAUCGCACAUGUCUCUCUUGGAAAAAUCUUUCAAUUAACCUUGCUCUGCCUUGAUAAGAUCUGUGAGCAAAAAGAUUUCUUCAAAGAUCUUAUGGAACACAAAGAACCCUUUGCCUCAGCCUGUAAAAAGCCUUAUCUCAAAAUCCAGUGCAAAGAUGACAAAACAUGCACUUGUCCAUCCACCAAAAAGAAACACUUCCAGAAACAUUUCCACAGAUCCUCUUCUAAAAAACCAAAAAAGCCUUACAGAUACUUUCGGAAAAAUGAUCCUUCCCAGUUCAGAACGAAGAGACACAAUCGAUGUUUUAUUUGCAAGAAACGCGGACAUUUUGCCCGCAAUUGCCCAAAUAAGUCAGCCAAAGUUGUUCGUCUCAUUCAACACCUACAGCAAUCUUCUAUCCUUUCUGAAAACGAAGAAGUUGAAUCCAUCUUCUCAGAACAGUCCGAGAAAGAUGAUCAUACAGCCUUCAUCCUUACUGAUUUAACAGACUCAGAUCCAGAUGACAUUUUUGUAAUCUCCACUAUUCAAGAGAUUAACCACAUUCGUCCCACACUUCCUGGUCCAUCAGUAAAAAUUUCAGUCAUCCCUUCAAAAAUCCAUAAACCUGUCUCAGUUAUUGGUUUCCUUGAUACUGGCGCACAACGCAGUAUGCUCAAUCCCAAAAUCCUUCCUCCAAACUAUUGGGACAACCAUACUGAAUACUUCAGAGCUGCAAAUGGAAAAGUUUUUGAAACUUCUCUCAUUACCAAAAAAACCCAUUAGUAUCCAGUUCUUCCCCAACUGUAUCAUUUGGCAAAAGAUUGUUGGUUCAGAUUUACCAGACAAAGAUCUCCUCAUCGGAUUUGAUAUCCUCCAACUGGUAAAAAACCUCUUCAUUACUCCAACAGGCAUUAAAUUCAAACAAAUGUUUAUGCCUUAUACAGAUGUUCUCUGUCUGUAUAUAUUGUCAGAUACAACUCCUCCUUAUACCUCCAUUUCUCAAAAGUUCCUUGAACUUUGUCCUGAAAAUCACUCACAAUUCACCCAUCCAUCACCACUUUGGAAAAAUGACCAGUUUUUCAUUCAUCUUCCUUUCAAACUCAAUGAAGAUGUCAAUACUACCAAGGCCACCCAUCCAGGAAUGCCUCCUUCUGAUCUCACUCUCGCCAAGCAAGAAUGCACUCAAUUGCUUCGGCAAGGUCUCAUAGAACCUACUACUUCAGAUUGGGCUUGUCGAGCCUUCUAUGUUGAAAAGCGUUCUGAAUUAGUUCGUGGAAAAAAGAGAUGAGUCAUUGAUUACCAGCCACUUAAUGCUUUCCUUAAAGAUGAUAAAUUUCCUCUCCCCAAGAUCUAGUCCCUGUUUAUUCAUCUUCAAGGUGCAAAGGUAUUUUCAAAGUUCGAUCUUAAAGCUGGUUUUUGGCAACUUGGCAUUUCUCCGGAAGAUCGUCCCAAAACAGCCUUCUGUAUCCCUAAUGCUCAUUAUCAAUGGACAGUUCUACCCUUCGGUCCCAAGGUUGCUCCAUCCUUAUUUCAAAAAGCAAUGGUUAAGAUCUUCUCUCCGAUCCUCCGUCAUGCUUUGAUCUACAUUGACGACAUUCUGUUGUUUCCCAUGACCAUCAGACACAUCAACAACUCCUUUCAGAUUUCCUGGAAAUCAUGCAGACACAUGGCAUCAUGCUUUCUGAAAAGAAAAGCAACAUAGGAAAGGAAUCUAUUGACUUUUUUGGCAUGACCUUGAACGAUGGCCACUACCAUCCAGGACCACACAUAACAGCAGAAUUAUUAAAGUUUCCAGACACUGAUUUCACCAAAAAACAAAUUCAACAGUUCCUUGGAAUUGUUAUUUAUGUCAGAGACUUUAUUCCGAAAGUUGCGGUCCACACUAGUCAGCUAUCGUGCAUACUCAAAAAGACAGCUCUACCAUGGGGUCCAGCCCAGACAAAAGCUGUAAAGCAGCUUAAAAAGAUAGCCUAGUCACCUCUUCCACUCAAAAUUCCCACUACCGGCCAAUGCAUCCUCCAGACAGAUGCUAGUGAUGACUUUUGGAGUGCUAUCCUCCUGGAAAAGAUCGGUGACUCUGAGUCCUAUUGCGCUCAUGCAAGUGGACAGUUCAAAUAAUCAAAAAAGAAUUACCACGUGAUUUACAAGGAAAUUCUUGCAGUAAAAUAUGGAAUUAAGAAGUUUGAAUUUCAUCUCAUCAGCCACAAUUUCCUCAUCAGAAUGGACAACAGUUCUUUUCCAAAGAUCUUUGACUUCAAGAACAAAUUGCUUCUUAACAAACAAUUGCUCAACCUAAAGACAUGGUUUGCAAAGUAUGACUACACAGUCCGACACAUCAAAGGUAAUCAAAAUCUUAUUCCUAAUUUCCUCACCCGACCAUCUAUAAAAAGCCAUGUUCUCAUCUCUUCCAUCCAAACCAUCCCAAUUAUCGCCAUGUAUCGUUCACUCCCUUUCAAAGCUCUCACCCAAAAAGCUUUUCCUCUAAACCUCACUUUCCGAUCAGCCUUCCAAAUCCAAGAUUUUGCAAAGAAAUUCCUUUAUAGGUAUUUCAUGAAUGUUCACAUAACCAAACCUGAACGUUUUCCUUCUCUAUGUUUAGAACACCUGUUCCUCACUAGCUUCACCAUUACCAACCUUACCAUCUCUGAAGAUGAGUUAUGGUACAUGUGGUGUCUCACAGUCCUGUUUGCUACAAAACUUGUUCUUCCUAUCCGACCAACACUUAGGCAUCUCUCCACACCAGACCAUGCACCCACACUUCUCUGGACACUCCUUGAAUGGUUUUCCCCACUCACUUGGUGGCGUAAACAAUUACAGAAUGUAUCUAACUUUCAUCAGUUAUAUCGAAUUCCAGAUCAAGAAGCAGAUAUGUUUACUUCGGUAUUCAUAGUCCACAGGCCAUAUUUUCAAUAUCCUCAGACAAAAGAUUACUGGACACAAGACAUGGCAUAUGAAUGGAAAACAUUCCCUCAUCCUUUCCCUCUUGACCAUGAUCCUACAAUUAUCUCCACUCUCAAAGCCUUCUUGUUAGAACUCAACAAUGUCCAACCUGUUCCAACAGACAUUCACCACACCUCCAUUGGUCCUUCCCAUACUCUUGAGAUUCUACCAGGCACUCAAAUAUGAACUCCAAGAUCCAGUUCCAGUCCUCAUGGCAUUCUUGUUCGAGAACAACGACCCGACGACACAAGAAAUGUUCUCUUCCAAGACGCUCAAGACCUUUGGGCAGACUUUCAAUCCGUAUUAGAAACCCAAGACAUCAGUACAUUGUGACCGAACCAGGCUCUUCGUCUACUCCAACUCAAGCUCAACGACCAACAAGCCCCGACUUAGAUGAAGACAUCCUGAUCUACCAAGAAAUCCAAAGAGUAAAAAAAGAAUAUGAAAAAGAAACCGGUGACGUGUCCCCAUCCAGAUUUUCCUCAACUCCUUAAUCACCUCACAUGGCUACAGAGUCAUCCGGGAAUCUCGGCUUUUCCUGCUUUCAAUAAAAGACAUGGGUCCUACCUUGUCUAAAGUGUGUUUUAUCUUUUAUGCUUUUUCUUUUGCUUUAAUUAUUAUGGUUUGCUUUUGCUUUAUGCUUUUGUCAAAGAAAAGAUAAGGGGUCCUAUCCUAUCUUUAUCUUUAUCUUAGCUUUCCAGCUCUAUUUAAGAGCUCUUCCGUCCUUGUAAAAUUCAUAUUGCCAUCAAUAAUAUUUCUAAGUUUUUCUUAAACUUCUAUGGCUUCCUAAGUCCCUCUUCUUCUUCUAAGGAACGAAGAAAAUACUUGAGUUAUUAAACUAAGAGCGUUCAUCUCUAUUUUCUAUACUGAGUAUGCUCUACACUUGCCUUGCUUCAAGGAUCCUGUGUAUCAGAAAAGUCCUGAUUUAUUUAUAAAACUGAUUUAAAAUAAAAUUGUUUUCUCACAACGUUCACCCUCUUUGAAGGUCAGAAGUGACCUAUUUUCGGGUGGUAUCGUGAUCAAUGGUUUUUGCUUUUUUAGGUUUUAUAUCUCAGGGAUUAUAAGUAUAUCGGCUGGAAACCAAAACUUGAGGACUACUUGUCCAAAGGAUAGUCUAGCACUAUCAUAUUUCAGGUGUAACAACGCCACGUAUCUGUACUUAACGCAGUGGUCAUCCAAACCAUCCCAAUUAUCACCAUGUAUCGUUCACUCCCUUUCAAAGCUCAUGAUACCACCUCUAGAAAACGUCGUUUAAUUCUAAGUAAUGAUGAAAUAAGCAAUGAUAUAAGUAAUGAUGCCAUAAGCAAUGACAUAAGUGAUGACGUAAGAGAAGUAUGUAGAGAAAGUUAAGAAUUUUAGAAUUUAGUAAGUUAUUUAUGAAGGUUAAUCUCAACCAUUAAUCAAGAUUUAUGGUGGCAAAAUCCUAACUAUCCAUUAGCCCUAAGAAAUCCUAUGAAUACCCCCUUCCAUUUUCAAUCCAACCUAGAAAUUCCAUUAUCUUCUAUUCUAAGUCAUAAUAUCAAGAGUAGAGAAAUCCUUAAUUUAGAAAGGUCUAGAAAAGUUAAGGUCAAGAGGUAAGUAACGCUUCAACUGCAAUAUAGGGACAAAAUUAUUUUCAUACUUAACUUCAGUUUUAGCCAUUCCUUUAUUUUGUGAUGGCUAUUAUGAUGUGAUUAGUUAUAAUCUAAAUUCUCAUAUGGUUGGCUAUGCCGCCUAAUCUAUGAUACUUAAUUACGUUAUGGUCGGCUCUGCCGCCUAAUCUAUGAUACUUAGUUACGUUAUGGUCGACUCUUCCGCCUAAUCUGUGAUGCUUAUACUUAAUUAUGCUAUGGUAUGUUAUGCCGCCAAUAUUAAAGAAUCUUGUUCUUAAAUAGUGUUGUGUGUUGAUUCUGUUAUGCAUCUACUUCAAAUGUUAUGACAUAAGUUGCAUUGGAUACAUGCAUAUCAUGGAUUACAUUAUGAAGAAUAUGUUUCAGAAAAUGAAUUUAUGAAAAAUAGGUGGUUGUACUACCAGGUGGCAAAGUUUCUAAGGAGGGCAAGCCCUCAAAGCUAAGUAAAAAGAAAUCUUUUGGGGACGACGAUACGUAACGCCCAAAAGAUCAACUAAUAAGGCCCAAGGGCAUGUUGUUUAAAGAGUAAAAGUGCAAACCUUGUUGUGCAACAUACUUAGGGCCUUAAUGAAGUUGUUUUGUAUUUUCUAAGCUUGUUUUAAAAGCUUAAUAUGAUCAUCCAUAUGCAUAAUAAGUUAUACAUGCAUUCAAGUGUUAUCUUAUUGGGCAUUAGCUCAUAAAGUCCUUACAUUGCAGGUAACAAUGAGUAGGGUAAGCUGGCGCCAUAACCAAGACGAAGUGCAUAUGGGCAUAAUAGACCUUGGGAUUUUAUGAUGGGCUCAGUUUUGUUUCAAUAGAAAAUAAGCAUCUUAAUUUUAUGUAAUAGUAAAGUUUUUAUACUAAGAAGUUUUUGUAUGACUCUUACUCUUUGUAAGAAAGUUUUGUUACAUCUUUAAAAUGAAUAUUUAAGUGGAGUGUUACAUUGACCCUUUAUCUAUAAAGUUAAAACCAAUGAUAUAAAAAAUUUAGGUUGAUGCCACACUCAAGAAAUUUGAUCAUGGAGAAAUUAGCUAAUGAACCUUUACUUACCUCGCCUAACUUUGGUAAAACUUUUAAAAUUGAGUGUGGUGAUUCAGGAAUAGGUAUUGGAACUGUUCUGAUGCAAGAAGGAUGUCCCAUUGUAUAUUUUAGUAAAAUACUAAGUGGGGCAGCCUUAAAUUACCGUACAUAUGACAAAGAAAUGUAAACUCUAAUAUGAAAUUCCCAAUACAAUUGAAUUUUACUUACAACCUAAAGUAAAAAGGAAAUAAAAGAUCCUAAAAUAAAAAUAAAAGAUCUUGUUGAUCCUAAAAUAAAAAGAAAGCAAAGGAUCUUAUUUCCAAAACAAAUUAAUAAACAAAGAUUUUACUUUAUUUUUUUCCUAAUUUGAUAAGGCCUCAUUCAAUCUUCUUGCAAGUCACUCCUACUCAAAUUUAGAAGCUUGAAUAAUAUUAACAAAGUGUUGACUAUCUUGAACAUUUAUUUUUGGCACAUUAGUAUCUUGGACAAGGCAUAAAUUUGAGAUGUGCUCAAAUAAUUCAUUUAAUGCUUCCUUUAUAUUCUUGGUUCUUGUGCUUGUCAUUUGACCUCCAUGGAUACUCAAUGGAUUUUGUGAAGCUUUAUCAACAUGGUUCUCAUCACCUUCUCUUUGGCUAAAACCCUCUCAUUCACUGCUUUCUUAUUCAGGGAUAGUCUUUUCAUAUUUUUCUUCAAGUUCGUUAGGGACCAUGCUAUUUAUGAAAUGAUAGUUGGUUUGUGGAACUCUAAUUCUUCUUUGCAAGCUCAAGAAUUUGUACUACUGAUUGGAUGUAAAAGAUCAUCCACUGAGUUUGAAUUAUAGCUGUGACCUCUUGAUCUUCUUUAAGUGAUUAUUGUAGUUGACGUCCAUAUCUUCAUGGUUAGAUAACACAUAGAUAUCUUGCAUAUGGAGGUGGCCAUAAAUGGGCAUCCUAUGAUCAUGUUAUGAGGACUGUAAGUGUCCAUGACUGAUUGGAAAUUAGAUGACCUCUUAAGAAGUUACUAUUUCUCCAGAAAUAUAACCAGCAAUGCUUUAAAUUUAUGGAACUUAGGCUAUUUUGUCUAGAGUGCCCUUGAAGAUUGUGUUGACAGAGCUUUUAGUAUCAACUAGGGUCCUAUCAUCUUCCUUUGCUGCAACUUUUAGUGUAACCUUUAGAAUGUCCUUAUGAGGGUACCUGACCCUCACAACGUCAUCUUUAAAAAAGAUUAUCGGUAAUGGGUGUUGUAGUCUAUCCUCACUUCACAUUAUUUAGGUCCAUGUUUAGGCAUCCCUCGGUUACAGCGGUUCCUUACAUUACAGUGUUCACUAAGUCUUUUUCGUUUAACCUGCUCACCUAGUAUCCCUCUAUAGGUUUUUGUAUAUAGGGUUCAUCCUUUUCCUCCCUUUUUUUGGAUCUUUUGGUUCCUCAUUGUGUCUAUGACAAUCACUUGCAAGUGUCCUCUAUAAUACUGUGGCCUCAAUUACGAUGAACCUCAUAAUAUUUCUUACCCUUUUUUUGUCUUGGAUCCUUAUGUAUCUCAUUCUCCAUAAUCAAGUAGAAGAUGCUCUUUAGGAGGUUUUUAUUCAUCACAUUUUGUAAAACUAGGAGCAACUAGUGGUCAGAUCUAUUUUUAGCUCCUCUUAAUUAGUUUAGAAAGUUGAACAACCUUUUUUCGUGGUGAAGUUACGUAUGGCAUGCUUCUUUCUUUUUAUGGUGCUUCAUUGCCCCAAGAGCUCUUUACUUUUCCCUUUCUUUUCAUGUUGUAGUUCUCUUUCUCAAUCUAUUUAAGUUCUUUAAGAGAUUAAGUGCCUUGUUCAUAAUUUCUUCCGUAGACAACUUGCUUCUACCUAUUCUUGUGCUUUUCUAUGGCUUUUAGUGUUAGAGAAUAAUAAGAAUAUGGAGGCAAAGAACAAAAAAAGUUUCUUAGGAUUUGAGACGCGUUUGCACACUUUCCUUUAAGGUUUUAUUUGCCCUCACCAAUCUUGGUUUGCUAUAGAGUUUUUUUUGGCAAAUUACCCCUAAGAUAUAUCAAAUCCUGAAUACAAUCUCUAGCAAAAAAGAUUGUAUUUCCAGAACAUAUAUGAAACCUGCAAAAUCUGAUAAUUAAUCUAAUUAUGUGUCUUUCUUUAAUGAAGAAGAUGUUUAUUUGAAAGAAUACAACCAUUAGAAAAUGGUACUUCUUCGAAGACACUCUUUUUUUUUUGUUUGAAUUUGCCUCGAUUGACAAUUGAAAUUUUCAUUCUUGCUAACUGUUUUUCCAAUUGACGCCUUUCUGAAAAUAAACGGUUAGCGGUUUUCUCAAUAAACGGUGAGCCGUUUUAUUCCAGAAUGUCAAAUACAUUGCUCUCGGUAAAUAAACGGUUAGCCAUUUUCUCAAUAACGGUGAGCCGUUUUCUCUAGAACAUAAAACAUGCUCUCUGGAGUUAAACGGUUAGCCGUUUUCUCAAUAACGGUGAGCCGUUUUAUCCAUAACAGCAAACAUGCUCUCUGGACUUAAAUGGUUAGUCAUUUGCUCAAGAAACGGCAAACCGUUUUCGUCCAGAAUAUCAAACCAAAAAACUUGGAAAAAUGUUACAAUCUCUCUUACAAUCCCCACUAAAUUGUAAUAUUUUUCAGAUUUAUUAAUGAUAAACUUAUACAUACAAAAAGGUAUCUUUCGAUUUUAACCUUUAAUUAGUGAGUGUAUUUCAAAGCAUUUACAAGACAAUAGUGUGCUAAGCAUUAAACUUUGUCUCUUAAGAUACAUCACAUAUAAGCUAUCCCAGAUUUCAAAGUUGUGUUCCAAUAGUUAGCACUAUUCCGGCCUUGUGCUCUAUCUUGGAUUCACGAACAUUUACAAGAUUAAACCAUGACCUUGUUAGAAACGACACCAUUUCUUAUGUUCACUUAGGUGAAGUUUCAAAUCAUGUCUUUAGCUACUAUAAGACUUGAACUUCAUUAAGAGUAAAUACUCAACCUCAAUCUCGUAGCUAUUUGCGCCGAAACUCUCGAAUGGGAUUAUUACCCAUAACAAUAACUUGUUAUUACCCAUUUAACUAUGGAGUAGCUGUACAACUACUACAUAGUUGGGUUACCGUCGUUGGUGACUUUAUUAUGCAAAGGUUUCAAUCCCAUUCCAAAAGAUGUAUCCUUAACUAAGUCUCUUGAAAGACCUUUUGUUAAAGGAUCUGCUAGGUUCUUAUUAGUCCUAACAUAAACAAUAUUAAUAACACCAUCUGCUAUUAAUUGUUUCACAUAUUCAUGUCUCAAGCUAAUAUGUCUAGACUUUCCAUUAUACACUUUAUUAUAAGCUCUAGACAAUGUAGCUUCACUGUCGCAGUACAAAGAAAUAGAUGGCAUCGAUUGUGGCCACAACUUUAUAUCAAACAACAAAUUUCUCAGCCAUUCUGCUUCUUUGCCUGCAGCUGCAAGUGUUAUAAACUCACUUUCCAUUGUUGAAUGAGUUAUGCACGUUUGUUUCUUUGAAGCCCAAGAAACCGCUCCUCCAGCAAUUGUAAAAAUCCAACCAGAAGUGGAUUUAUUGUCUCUUGUAUUGGUUACCCAACUAGCAUCUGAAUAUCCUUCCAGUACUUCAGGAUAAUCGUUAUAAAACAAACCCAAAUUAAUGGUCCUUUUAAGAUAACCAAGUAUCCUACCAAUUGUUUUUCAGUGUUCAGGCCUCGUACAAUGCAUAGCAUACAUCAAGCUACCAAUAGCACUAGCAUAUUCUAGUUGUGCUACUACUCGGCCUGAAUUCUCUAGUAAUUUAAUACUAGAAUCAUAUGGGGUAUUAGCUUCUUUAAAUUUCAAAUAAUUGAAUUUAAGAAGCACUUUCUCUAUAUAAUGAGAUUGACACAACGAGUAACCCCCACUAUGUUUAUUCACUUUGACACCUAAGAUAGUAUCUAAUUUACUAAGAUCUUUCAUCUUAAAUUGUGAAGUUAAAUACUUCUUUGUAUCAUCUACUCCUUGCAUAUUUGUUCCAAAGAUAAGCAAGUCAUCAACAUACAAGCAUAUAAUCACACCAAAAUCAUUCGUAAAUUUAAAAUAUAUACAUUUAUCAGCAUUAUUAUGCUUAAAACCAUGAGAUAAAAUUACCGAAUCAAACUUCUCAUGCCAUUGUUUUGGUGCUUGCUUUAAACCAUAAAGAGAUUUGACUAACUUGCAUACCUUUUUCUCAUUUCCUGGCAAAACAAAUCCCUCAGGUUGUUCCAUAUAGAUUUCUUCAUCAAGAUCACCAUUUGAUGCACAUACAAAUUGUUCAAUGAAACAAUUGCAAAUAGCACUCUUAUAGAAGUUAACCUAGCUGCCGAUUUAAAUAUCUUGGCUUGCCAAGGAUCUCAGCACUCUGGUAAAACAACGCCACGUACAACUACCACUUCUUUGCUUAAACCCUUUGGCUACUAAUCUAGCCUUAAAAGUUUGCAAAGAACCAUCACUAUUGUACUUUCUUCUAAAUACCCAUUUGCUGCUAAUUGGUUUAGAUCCUAAAGGAAGAUCAACCAAGACCCAUGUUUGAUUCGACAUAAUCGAAUCCAUUUCAUAGCUUCGCUAAAUGUCUUUGGAUCUUUUUCAAUAUUUAACAACAAUGGUACUUUGUUAAGUACAUUCUUUCUAUCCCCUUCAACCAAGAAGAGUAGUGCUUGUGAUGAAAUAAAAUCCGGAGCUAAACUCUUUUCUUUCUUUUUACGUUGACUCCUCCUUGGUUCAAAAAAUGUCAUAGACUCUUUCCUUUUAUUAUUGUUAGUGGAGGUAACAGGAGUAUUAACACAUGGUUGAUCAAUAAUUGAUUCUAAUUCAAUAUUAGAAUCAAGUUGAAAUUUAUUCUCAAUAAACUCAACAUCUCUAGAUUCCACAAUCACAUUAGAAUCUAAAUCUAACAACCUAUAUGCUUUGGAAUUUUCAGCAUAUCCUACGAAAACACUCUUUAUACCUCUAGCACUUAACUUUGAUGAUUUAGGAUCAUGUAUUUUAUAAAAGGCUAAACAACCCCAGACCAUUAAAUACAUCAAGUUUGGUUUUCUUCCUUUCCAAAUUUCAUAAGGAGAUAUAUGUGUUUUCAAAGAUGUAAUUCUGUUAUGAAUAUGACAUGCAGUGAGUAAUGCUUCCCCCCACAGUUUUGCAUUAAUGAUCAUGGAAUUUAUCAUAUCCAUGAAGAUCCUAUUCUUCCUUUCAGCCAAACCAUUUUGUUGAGGAGUAAAUGGAUCUGAUCUUUGGUGAAUAAUUCCAACUUCUUCACAAUAAUUAUUAAAUUCAAUUGAGAAAUAUUCACCACCUCUAUCACUACGAACCAUUUUGAUUUUCUUAUCUUUUUGGUUCUCAACUUCAGCUCUGAAAAUUUUAAAUUUAUCAAAAGCUUCAUUUUUUGUUCUAAGUAAAUACACAUAAGUGUAUCUAGAACAAUCAUUAAUAAAAGAGAUAAAGUACCUCUUACCUCCUCUUGUUAAAAUGUCAUUAUACUCACAAAUAUAUGUAUGUGUUAAAUCCAAUAUUUGAGUAUUUCGUUUGGCUUUAGGAAAAGGUUUCUUAGUUAAUUUAGCUUGGAUGCAAAUUUCACACUUGUGACCUUUAACAUCAUUGCAAUUAAUCAAACCAUGCUUAGACAUGUAUUUCAACGAUCUAAAAUUCAAAUGUGCUAAUCUAGCAUGCCAGACAUCACAAGACUCAACAAUAUAAGCUAAGUUGAUAUUAAUAUUAUUAAUGCUGAGUUUGUACAUUCCAUCACAAGAAUACCCUUUCCCAACAAAUAAUCCAUUCUUUGAGAUAAUACAAGUAUUACCCUCAAGCACAAUCUUAAGCCCAUGCUUACACAUACAACUAGCAGAAAUAAGAUUCUUCCUAACGGAAGGUACAUGAAAGACAUUAUACAAUGUGACUUUCUUUCCAGAAGUGAAGUUGAUCUCAACUACUCCUUUCCCUGCUACUAUGGCUCCAUUAUUAUUCCCCAUGAGAACCAUUUGUCCUUCCGUUUCUUCUUUGUAUGAUAAGAAAAAUUUCUUAUCAUUACAAACAUGAAUUGUUGCACCCGAAUCGAGCCACCAAUCAUAGGACUUAGUUUCAGCCAUAUUGGUUCGAUAAUCAUGCCAAUUUGCAUUUCAGAAACCAUAGCACAAAUCUCUUCAGAUUUGUUUUCAAUAACAUUAGCUUUAUGGGAAUUCACUUCUUCCUUUUUCUUCUUGAAUCUGCAAUCACUUUGGCGAUGGCCUUUCUUACCACAAAAGAAAUAAUUUUCAGAAAACUUUUGUGUGCUGGACUUCUUGAAUUUCUUGUCAUUCUUGACUUUAAAAUUCUUUGAGAAUUUACUAGCUUCAACAACAUUAACUUUAGUAGAAUCAUGCUUAUCCUUGGAUUCGCGAGACCUAGUCCCUUCUUCAAUGACCAAGUGUUUUUGCAAUUCUUCUAAAGUUAUGUUCUCUUUACUAUGAAGGAGUUUGUUUCUAUAAUCAUUCCAACUUUGAGGCCAUUUAGCAAUAAUAGCCCCAACUUGAAAUGAUUUAGAAAUUUCAACUUUUAACUCUCGAAGCUUAGCAACAAUAAUUUGUAACUCAUGUAUUUGAUCAAGAAUGGAUUUUGUGUCAACCAUAAUAAAUUCAAAAUAUUUAGAUACAAGGAAUUUGUCAGUACCUUCUUUCUCUAUUUUGUAUUUGUACUCAAGAGCAUUCCCAAUUUCCACCGGAGAAGUCAUAGAAUUGUAGAGAUCAUAUAACCUGUCAGAAAGCGUAUUGAGUAUGUGACCUCGGCACAUCAAUUCAUCACCUUCACGACGUUUCCUUGCAGCCUUAACAACUUCGGUAUCAUCUUCUCUUGGUUAUGGAAAUGGUUCCAAUUUAAGAACAGUAAGGAGAAAGAACAAUUUUCCCUUCCAACGAGUGAAAUUAGUUCCAUCAAAACAAUCGAGAUGGACACUAGGAUUAAGAAAUGACGUCAAACUCUUCUCAGUCUCCAUUUAGAAGAAUAAAACCUUAAAGAUUGUUAGAGAAUAAUAAGAAUAUGGAAGCAAAGAACAAAGAAAGUUUCUUAAGAUUUGAGACGUGUUUGCACACUUUCCUUUAAGGUUUUAUUUGCCCUCACCAAUCUUAGUUUGCUAUAGAGUUUUUCUUGGCAAAUUACCCCCAAGAUAUAUCAAAUCCUGAAUACAAUCUCUAGCAAAAAAGAUUGUAUUUCCAGAAUAUAUAUGAAACCUGCAAAAUCUGAUAAUUAAUCUAAUUAUGUGUCUUUCUUUAAUGAAAGAAGAUGUUUAUUUGAAAGAAUAUAACCAUUAGAAAAUGGUACUUCUUCGAAGACACUUUUUUUUUGUUUGAAUUUGCCUCGAUUGACAAUUGAAAUUUUCAUUCUUGCUAACCGUUUUUCCAAUUGACGCCUUUCUGGAAAUAAACGGUUAGCCGUUUUCUCAAUAAAUGGUAAGCCAUUUUAUUCCAAAAGGUUAAAUACGUUGCUCUCGAUAAAUAAACGGUUAGCCAUUUUCUCAAUAACGGUGAGCCGUUUUCUCUAGAACAUAAAAUAUGUUCUCUAGAGUUAAACGAUUAGCCGUUUUCUCAAUAACGGUGAGUCGUUUUCUCAAUAACGGUGAGCCGUUUUAUCUAGAACAGCAAACAAGCUCUCUAGACUUAAACAGUUAGCCGUUUGCUCAAGAAACGGCAAACCGUUUUCGUACAGAAUAUCAAACCAAAAAACUUGAAAAAAUGUUACAAUCUCUCUUACAUUUAGAACCUUAAACAUCCUGGUAUUCCACGGAAAUAAGUUCAUUGUUUGCAUUAUCAUUAAGUUUGGUCUUUUCUAAGAGAUUUCAACAAGAUAGCAUCUUACCAUACGUUGACUCACCAUUGAUGCAAUGAUGAUGUUAUUUUGACAAGAACAGCGAUUAAGGUUGACUUGAAGCAUGGACCAUACGCUUUUGAUAACGAUCACCUCAACAUCUUUCUUUGUAAGUGAAGGCUUCUUUUCACAGUUUGCAUCUUCGACUGGAGCUUUGGCUUUUACUCUUUCAAGGCUUGCUUAGUUGUAGAACUCUUUUACUUUCUUCAUGAGUACUUGCUUGUGGUGUUCUUACCACUUUGUGCUUUCUGCACCAUAUUAUAAGAAAAAGGUAAUUGUUUUAUGAAGAUAAAUCCUAGUUAGAGUAUAAAAAAAAAUAGAGUUUUCAAUUAGUUUUUUGUAGGGUGGUGCCAAAUGCUUUAGCCCAUCUUUUGUGAGUUAAAACAUUAAAUAAAAAGGCUUUGUUUUUAGGUUGAUUAGGAUGCACGAAACCUAAAAUAGAAAAUAGAGUCACUAGAGGUGGUGCUAGCAGUGGACAGCAACAGCACUUUAAUAGUUAAAUGAGUGCAGUGACUAAAAUGGAUGAAGGCCUCACUUGGAGGCUCAAAGAUUAAAGAAACAGUUAAGUGGUUCAAAAUAAUGACGGUGAAAGUGAGCGAAAAGUCCUUUUUUUUCUUUUUUACCUUGACCUUUUAAUAUGUAAAAGUACCCCUCAAAAUGUCCUUGGUCUAAUCGGAUACACGGUGUGAGCCCAUUGGCUCCCCCCUACCUUGUGCACCUUGUUUAAAUAUUGGAGCCAUUGAGUUUUUUUAGUGUUGGCCAUAAGUGGCUCCUCGAUUAGUGGCUUCUAAAGUUUGGUAGGCAUUAGGAUCGCUUUCCAGGUCACACGCUUUUAUUGGACGCUCAGGAAGCUUAAAAAAGUCAAGUGCUCUUUGAUUUUUGUCGGCGGAUCACGCCCAAUGAUCUCCUUGGAGCCACAUUUUUAGACGAUGGUGGUUGGAAAAUGUAGAGACAAGCUUGUGGCAAAAGCCGAAGUUUAUGGGUUCCUCAUUUUAAGUUAGCAAGUACUUGUUGGUGACUCUUGAGUUUCUCUUAAAAUGAGCGAUUAUUGGUGGAGGCCAUAUCACAUCCUUUACAGCUCUUAUGGUUAACUAACAGAAAACAAGGGAAUAUCUUCUAAGAUUUAAGGGCCUGUUUGGUACCGUUUUCAAGCCUCUGUUUUCGUUUUCGUUUUCGUUUUGAGGAUACAGAUGUAAUUCGUGUUUGGUGGGCUAAACUCAGAAACAAAUUAUAAAACAAAAAAUUCAUAUUCAGCUUUCCAGUUGUAAAGUUGAAAACAUGUUUAAUGCGUUUUCAAAUGAAUUACAAUUCACACUCAAGAACAAAUUACAGAACAAAUCUCGGCUCGUGUUCACUUCAUCAACAGCUCCCAAAUUCCCCGAUCUAAACUCUCCGCACUCACUAUCACUCUCUUCUUCCUCUUUGUCUAGAUCUACAACACAUAUCUCUCCCUCUAACUCGAUCUGCCACUCGCGUGCUGCUGCUGCUGCUCUUCCACUCGCGUGCUGCUGCUGCUAGAUCCUGCUGCUGCUGCUGCUCUUUCACUCGGUUGCUGCUGCUGCUCUUUCACUUGCUUGCUGCCGCUGCUAGAUCCUGCUGCUGCAGCUGCUCUUCCACUCGCUUGCUGCCACCACUUACUGGUAUAUUUCUUUCUUUUUUUCUAUUUGGCUGCACUUUGACUGUAAUUCUUUUUGUUUAGCUUGGACCCAUAUGAUGUUCAAUUCGGCAAAUUGGAUUCAAUUGGGCAAAUUGGAUGUUGUUAUGUUCAAUUAGUUUUUUAGGCAAAUUAAUUGGGUGUACUUCUUGAUUAUCUUGUGCAAGAUUUGCUCUGGUUUUAAGUGGCAUGUGGAAACUAUUUUAAGUGGCAUGUUCAAUUCGGCAAAUUGGAAACUGUUCUUGAUUAUUUUCUUUAGAUUGUUUCAGAUUCUAGGUCGUAGCAAUGAUAUUUCAGCAUGAGAGCAACUGGCCAUGAGCUGGAACAGAUGGGCUGGAAUUUCUCUCCUAGGUGGAGUUCUGUACAUUGUGCUGAUGAUCCCUUUCACGACGAACAGUUUUCCAAGGGCUCAGAACAUAGUAGUCAUGAUUUAGACCCAUGAAGUACCAAGAAUUUAUAUUUAUGGUGGUUAGCAGAAAAUCUCACUCUUGAAUCUAGACACAUUUGGUACAUAUUUGUCAAGUAUUUUGAAGCUUUACUCUGACUCUAGACACAAUAGUUUACUAGAACCUGAAAGAUAGAACAGAUGGAAAUACAAUGUAUGCGUUACAUUUUUGUUCAGACACAACAAAGAAAUCCACACGAAAUUGUUACUGGGAUGGUGGUGCCACGAUGAAACUGGAGAUCAAAAUCGAGCAAGGCACUUGUACUGUUUGAUUUGGUGCAAACAUUGUUGCCAAUUUUGUUGUAAUGUUUCAUUGGUGACAUAAUGGGAUUCCUUAUUACCCAUGCCAUUUUAAUUUAAUUUUCUUCCCACCGCAUUCCCAUGAUUGUUGAAGUGACUUGAAAGAAUUAAUAUCUUCUUGCUGGAGCCCGUAGACAUGGAUGCUUGCAAACAUAGAUAGAAGUUUUACCUUUGGUUGAUUUGCCAGUUUAAAGAGUCUUGUUUAGUAUUUGUUGGCCUUGAAUGUCUUGAUAUGGAUAUGGAGCCAAAACAAUUGCAAGACGUGUUUCGAUUACUACCAAAAGCCGUGCAUGUCACACUAAACCAUCGAACUUUAAUGCUGCCGGGACUGGCAUUGGGAUUGGGAUUGGAACAGGGACCAUGAGUUCUCCUCUGUUUCUCGGAUGGAAUUGCGGCUUUUAUGUGGCAUGAUUACAUACGUAAUGCAUAAUGUGUAUCAUGUAGUUUUUUAUAAUUAUUUUGUUUAAAUCAUGUGUUGUAAUGUAUAUCUUAAUUAUAUAGUGUAAAAACAAUGACAAUGUAAAAUUUUUUUAAUUAAUGUUAAUUAUUAAACUUUAUUAUCAUGUAAUUUUUUUUAUUAAAUUUGGUUAAAUUAUUUUGUUGUAUUUGUGUGUAUUAGCUAAAUAAUUAUUUUAUAACUAUAAAUAUAAUGUAAAUGAUUAGUAAAAAUUAUUUUUAAAAAAAGCAUUACCAAACGCAUAUUCUCUGUUUUUAUCAUUUCUAACUGUGUCUACCAAACGCAUAUUACUGUUUUCAGUUUUAAAAUAUAGGAUACAGAAAAUGAUAUCAAACGCAUAUUUAAAUUCAAAAUACAGUAACUGCAAAACACCAUUUUCAUUUUCAUUUUUAUUCUCAGAAAAUACAGAUUCAAAAACAAUACCAAACAGGCCCUAAGAUGUUUAGGUUGACAUUAGUUUAUUCCUAGAGCCUGCAAGUCCAUUCCCCCUUCCUCAAGGAUCUUUAAUAGAGCCGAAGCGUCAUUCCUACUCAGUGUUCCCUCUUCAUCUCUUAAUGAGUGUCUCCAACUUAUUAGUUCAAAAUUCAUUUUCAACAAUAUCUCUUUGUCUCCUUUGCCCACACGUAGCGAGUCAAGGUCGUUCCCGCCGCNNNNNNNNNNNNNNNNNNNNNNNNNNNNNNNNNNNNNNNNNNNNNNNNNNNNNNNNNNNNNNNNNNNNNNNNNNNNNNNNNNNNNNNNNNNNNNNNNNNNAACCGGGGGGUGAUAGAAAUUAAUCCUUCCGGGAAUUUCCUUUUUCCGGGGGUUCCCCCCCCCCCCCCCCCCCCCAAUGUUAUUUUAUCCCUAGGAUCUCCAUACAUCACCUUUCCCCGAAGAUCCUAAGGAUCUUCAUGUUACAUUUUCCUAGGGAUCCAUGAAAAGGAUUUCCCUUUUAUGUCACCUUUCCUCAAAGAUCCUAACAAGGGAUCUCGAAAUGUCACUUUUUUUCCGAGGGAUCCUCAAUGUAGCUUUUUUUUAGGGAAUCUACACAAAGGGUCCUUCAAGAGCACCGUAUUUUCCAUGGGAUUUCCUAACGCCACAUUUUUCCUGAGGAUCCCAAAGGACCCUCAACAGCACUUUUUCUUAAGAAUCUGUGAAAAGAUCUUCCAAAUAUCGUCUUUUUCUUGGGAUCCAUGAAAGAGACCCCUCUACAACACCCUUUCUCAAGGAUCCUCCUAAUGUUACAUUUUCUUGGGAUUUAAGAUUCACCUAACAUCACCAUUUUAUAGGGAUCCCUUCUAUGCCACCUUUCCUUGAGGGUCCACGUAAAAGAUCCUUCCAACGCAGCCAUUUUUAGGGAAACCUCGCAAGAGAUCCUCUCUAACGUCACCUAUCUCUUGAAGGAAGUAAGGGCACUAAUAAAGGAAAUUUGGGGGCUAUUGUUGGUGGAUAAAUUUGGUUAGGACAAUUUAAAAGUGCCAUGUGGACUAACAGACAGAAAAUAAAAGGACAACACUUGUUCUCAAAUAGAAUAUUAUUUUUUGCCUCAUUCUUCACUAAAGAAGACUAGUAGGUAUUGUUAAUGGUUAAAUUUAGGCUAAUGAUGGAAGAAUACAUGUCAAUGAUGAAAAAGAUAUCUAAAGGAAGCAUCAAGUAGGUAGAAUCCUUGGGCUGCAAAAAGGUCUUCGAGAUCCACAAAUGAUCCUUAGAAAGAAACUCAAUCUGAGGACUGAAAAUAAGUUAUAAAGGGAAUAAAACAAAACGAGGAACAUCGAAGUAUGCCUAGGAUACUCUUUUUGGUUCAGAAGUUGCUUCCUAGUUUACUAAGGUCAACUUCUUUUAAUCAACUACUAAGACACUAAAGGACAUGAUAAAGUCCUUAAUAAGGAUCAUCCAAGUUAAAGUAACCUUAAGAAUCAUUAAUAUGCGAUCACUAACUGAGAAGGAGGGAAUACAGACCUUAUCUUGUGGUUUAAGCUUAUCCCAACACUCUCCAGUUGUUAUUGUACGAAAUAAUAGUCCGUAGGGGAUAAAUAGGCGUGUUGCCAUCAAAAAAAUCACAAGGUGCCUGACUCUCCUCCUAAAUGUCAAGAUAGACCAGAACGUGCCAUCUAGAUAGGAAGUACAUAAUUAUUAUGCAAAAAAAAAAGAUACUUUAAUGAAAAAUUGCCACAUGUCAUACAAGAAAAUUUCAAAGGGCUUUGAAUAUUUAAACUUUAAUUAAAAUUACACAAAUGCCCCUACAUAAGGAGGGCCACCACCAAUCAGGUUCUAUCAUUGAGAGACGUAAGGGUGCCCUCAGUAGCGCUAUUAUACAAACUAAGCUUAAACCUAACUAAAAGGUCUGGCAAACUUCUUCCCUUUUAAAUCUCUCUCUAUCUAGUUUAUAUUCUUCAUUCUCUAAAAAAUAAAGGUCAUUUACCUCUCUCACUUUUCCAAAAGCUCAUUAUCUAUUUCAAACUUAGAGCUAUUGCGACUUUAUAUUAUACACCAUAUGGAUCCCCAUCUCUAUUAUUCAUCUCUCCACAAAGAGAUUGUCUUCCUCACCUUGCAUUUGAAUCUUCAUCUUUUUAAGAGGCAACCACUACUCAUCAGCUUCUCCAUGGCAAAUAUAAUCAAACUAGCCACAUAUUAUCCUCCACACGUAAGAACUCCUCAUAAGUAUCAAGGAGAACGAAUCAAAAGUUUCUCUCAAGGAACCAAAGAAGAAGAAUAAGCACUAGAAACAUUUUUUAUGUUCUUUAUCGCUUUUCAUGUAAUGGACCCAUGUAAUAAUAUAUUUUACGCAUUGGAUGUGUAGUUGAGACGCUCCCCAUAGACAUAGGCCAUAGGCCGAACCAAGUAAAUCUUAUGUGUUCUUUAUAUUUACCCUUUGUGUAUGUUUUGUGCUCCUUCAAAAGUAUCCUUAGAGCUUCCUGAGGCUGCUGCGAGCUCCAUGAGGACUCCGUGAGCCUAUUAAAAGAUCCUUGGUCUCCCUGAGCCCCUCAAAGUCUUUCAAGCUUCCUUACCACACUUAACCUAUUCGGGGACUUAACCUAUUCGGGGCACCCUGACACCAUCCUUGAAUCAAACAAAUCUCUAUUGUCUUUCAGCCCGCACCACUAGGAAGAGCGAAUAAUUGGUCGAAACAAUAUUGUUUAUUAUUUAUAGAUUUAUGGACUCAAGAUUGUUGUUGUAGUACUAGUAUAUUACUAUUAUAUUGUUUUUCACUGAAUAAACAAAGUAAAAUUGCUUGAACUAAAUCAAUCUAAACUAUAAAACAAACCAAAUAAAACUGAAUUAAUUUGGUUUGUUCCGUUUGAUUUUAGUAUUUGGUUUGUAUUUUGUUCAAAAAAUUAUGAAAACAACAAGGAAUAAGAUAAGUAGAAGACAGUGAUUUCAGUUGACAAUAUCUCCCAUUUUUGAAAAAAAAAAGUCUUUUAUAUCACAAAUGAGUGAAUAAAUGCAAUUUUAUUAAUAAACAAUUUUAUUAAAAGUGGGACAAGGAAAAAUUUAUGGGUUCAAAUUGCCUCACUUUUAAGUAACUUUCAUAUCGAAAAUAGUCACAAAUAUGAAAAAAAAAAUUAUGAGAAUAACUUAAUUACAAAACAUCCUUGAAUCAAACAAAUCUCUAUUGUCUUUCAGCCCGCACCACUAGGAAGAGCGAAUAAUUGGUCGAAACAAUAUUGUUUAUUAUUUAUAGAUUUAUGGACUCAAGAUUGUUGUUGUAGUACUAGUAUAUUACUAUUAUAUUGUUUUUCACUGAAUAAACAAAGUAAAAUUGCUUGAACUAAAUCAAUCUAAACUAUAAAACGAACCAAAUUAAACUGAAUUAAUUUGGUUUGUUCCGUUUGAUUUUAGUGUUUGGUUUGUAUUUUUUUCAUAAAAUUAUGAAAACAACAAUAAAUAAAAUAAAUAGAAGAUAUAGUGAUUUCAACUAACAAUUUCUCCCAUUUGUGAAAAAAAAAAGAAAAUCAUUUGUAUAACAUGUCAGUGAAUAAGUGCAAUUUUAGUAAUAAAGAAUUUUAUUAAAAGUGGGACAAGGAAAAUUUUAUGGGUUCAAAUUGCCUCACUUUUAAGUAACUUUCAUAUAAAAAAUAAUCACAAAUAGAAAAAAAAAGUAUGAGAAUAACUUAAUUACAAAAAAAAAAUUGUGGGAUAGACCCCGUCUUUCAAUCUAAGUGAUAGAACUAUUGCGGGCGGCUCAAAUUUGGCACCAAUGGAGGUUAAAUUAGCAUGCAUGGUUUGCUCAGUAAAAGUCCGCCCAAAGGCGGGAUGCAGUAGCGUGGUGCGUUCAGCAGUGGGCCGCCUCGUACAAUUAGUGAACCGUGGUGUGCUUAGCAAAUGGAUAGUCCAAAUUAAAGCAAUCUCAACCCGAUUCUAGAAAUCUCUACAACUCACUAGCACACGUAAAUAUCUAGAUAAUUCUAUACGUAUGUAUUCUUGAACCUAGUGGAUAUUUAGGCAACUUGUGCGGAAAACUAUAGACCUAAGCAAGCCCCUCUAUAAAUAAGGGAAGGCACCCGGCACUUUGCUCAACACCACACCAUCCACCUAGUGACUCAUGCAUACUUUGUAAAGCUUUCUUGUAUUCUUUUUUGCGAAUAAUAGAAUUCUCUUUGACUAUUUUACUCUCUCUUCUCUUUAAUUUUCUUGCAAGUAUCUUUACUUGGCUAAUUUGGGAAGUUUGAUAGGCUUACUUAACAAUUUUUGUACUAAAGUUGUCUAAAUAUUGCACGGGCUGCUUAGUAAUAAACUCAUGCCGUGACACAAUACUCUUCUAACAAGAAGUGUAUAAUUGGCAGAGCUAGCUAAUUUUGACACAACAAGACGAUCUAAUACGAACAUGACAUUAAUAAAUAAAUGAGUUUGGAGUCAUCAAAUUUAACAUGAUUAUUAAAUGAGCUUAGUUCAAGCCUAUAUAAUUUUUUUUCAUAUUGAGUUAGGGUUCAAGUUUUUAACUCAUUUACAUGAUUAAUGAUAUGAUUAUUAAAUACAUAAUUGAUAGGAAAAAUGACUCAUUAAGAUAUGACCCUUUUGGCAUCUAAAAAGAAUUUCUAAGAAUACUUUUAGAAUUAAGUUAUAUAAAAUUUUGAAAAAAAAAGACUAAUUACCACUAAUAGAUAAAACCUAAAUUGCCAUAUAUACAUCCAACUUUAAUAUAUUAGAAGACAAAAAAAAACCAUCUUUAAUGUUUUGAAAUAUGUAUUUUUUUAUUAUAUUUCAGUGGCUUGUUUUUCGGUUAGAUGAUACAAAUAUUUGAUUAUUAAAUGGACCGUGUUGGGUCCGUGCUUAUUUUUUCGAGUUAUGGUCUUAAUAUUUUAAUACGAUUAUUAAAUAGAUCAUAUUUAUUUCAUCUUAAAUUUGACAUGAUACAAUUACAACUGAUGGUCUAUUUUGUUAGCUUUAAUGGUUGGAAUUCCAAGCUUGUAUCGUUCGCACAUAAACAAUUCUUAAAUAGAAAGAAAGGGCAAACUAUUUUGCCUUUAGCUGAGUGGUCGAUUGUGAGGGUAGCGAUGCAUUGUUGGGGCUAAAUUCUUUUCUUAGUUAUAGAAAAUAAUUACUAAUGGGCUUUUGGUUCAGUAGGAGAAUCCUUGCACUUACAAUGUUGAGUGCAAGGGUUCGAGCCUCUAUAAAAGUAUUUAUCAGGUUUAUUUACAAUCCUCCCUCAAUUAUCAAAUAAUUGAGUGGAGCCAGUCUAUCCCUCACGAAAUAUAAGUGGAGUGGACAACCCUCGAAUAUUUGAGAGGGUGUGAAGAAUUUGGGCAGCGCUUCAGAGGAGUACAUGUCACGAAGAAAGUCUCAAUUGUAGAAUCUGUUUGUAAAUAUUAAUUGUAAUACCUAUAGUCCUGUAUAACAGUAUUAAAAAAAAGUUACAGAAAAUAACUGAGGGUAAUAUUUUCUCUUUCAAAAUAUGAGUAAAAUAUAUGUCUUUUAAAAAUGAUAGAAAACAUUAAAUUAUAUAUAAUUUAAUGUAAAUUAAUUUUAAUAAUUAUUUGAGUGGAGUAGACUUUCUAAAUAUUAAAGAGAGUAAAAUUUGAUAAGCCUAUAUAAAACUUAACAUAAACUAAUUUCAGUUUAAUUGGAAAUAUCAUUAUUUUUCGAUGUAGAGUAAUGUUAUAAAAUCUGAGCAAUAGUCGUGAAAUUUAAAAAAAUUACUUAAAAUAAUUCAUAAUUAAAUUUAAAUGAUUUGGGGAGAAAAAAAGCCAACUCUAACACUCUCCAAUUCAAUUGGAGUUUGGUCGAAUCCAAUGCAGAGUGCAGAGGUGUCCUCACUGCCCUGCAGGGAGUGUUGGUUAAUGGCUAAGAAUACGAUCCAUGCUCCAUUAAUUACAAUGGUUUGACUGUUAGCUUGUAGAUCUCUUUUGGGCACAAAGCUGGCGAACCCAGAGGUACCGUAUACUUGCUAAGCAUUCUGACGUUAGAAUAAAAUUAUUUUUCAUCUUAUUUAUUUUUUUCCCUCUAAACUUGCCUGCGUUGUAUUAUUUGUUCAAGGGCCGGCUUGGCUUAUGCGUUAGGUGUUUAUAUCUUGUUAUUUUUUUCUUGACUUUGACUGAUUUUAUUGUGUAUACAUGUAUAAUAUAUUCUUGUUCCUUUAACAAUCACAUUGCUUCUUUAAAAAAAUAAUUACUAGAUAUUCAGUCAACCUCCAAAAUCUCUUGUGCUAUGCUUCUGGUUUUCUGUCAAACAAUAGUAUUUAUUUUCAGUGGCUGUCCUUUGAACUCAAGAUCAACCAACAAUUUUUUUUUUUAUAAGGUUUGUCAAAAUUUGGUACUAAAAACUAAAUCUUGUUAACUUAUUAUUUCUGGGGUUGGCAUUGUUUCUGAUUAAGUUAGGAGUUUACUCGUAUGUAAUCUAGUUGAUAUUUGAAAUAGUAAGUUUCUUCAGUCCGUUCAUACCAGGAAAGUCAUUUUCAAUGCAGUUUCUUUCUUUCCAGCAUUUUUUUUUUCUGUUGAACAUCAAUUCUAUGUCGAAUGUGCUGUAUUACUUUAUUUAAAGGUCAAGGUAGCUAGGUGUUUCUUUUUCCACUGAUACUGGGCAUGCUGAGGCCGGAGGUUCUUUGAAAUCUUAUUGACAUGUUUUAGUCAAAAGACUCAAAACUGACAUUGGUUUAGUCAAUAUUGGAAAUUUCUGGUAGAUUACAUUUAGAUGUUCGGAAGAUUCUUGGUAAUUAAGAAAAUGAGAAUGUUUCUUUUAGGAAACUUUGGCAUGUCUCUAGCUAGAAGAAAUAUUUAAAAGAUUUGAAGAUUCAAAAUUUUUAAAAUCAAUGUAUGUUUUUGCAAGUGGAGGUUGGUUAGAAUAUUUUUGAUCUCUUGUAAUAGUGGAAGUAGGUAUGUGCUUACAAUCUACUGGUCGUGCACUUAGUCAGAAGUUUCUUUCACAUGCAUUUGUUUGAUGAAAGAACUGACUGACCCACAUGUUCACGUAACAAUUCCAAUUAAUUCUUUUUCUAGCCUAGAUUGUGUUUCUUAAUAUGACUUUGUAGAUUGAGGUUACUCUUAAGGUUACACUGGCAUCAACAGGCCUUCCGGUCUUAAAAUCAAUAGAUUGAGGUUACCCUUAAGGUUGCACUGAAUAUUGUUACAGCAUUGUAAUUGUGAGUGAACUUUAUCUUUCUUCAUUUUGAAAGUGGUACACUGCCCGUAUUUGUGCAUAUUGUGUUCAUGACCUGGCAUAGGUUAUAGAAUGUCCAAAUCCAGAGGUAACUGGUUACAGGAGCUUUCUUGGUCGAAAGACAAGAAAAUGUACCUUAUGUUGAAAUGUUUUUGAUUGAGCGGAUGCUUUUCUUCCCUUUCCAAAGGACUUUUGGACUUUAGAGGAUUUGUAGUAGUUUUAAACAGAGAUUUAAUCAAUUUCCAUGCACUUCCGAAGUCAAGAGAAUAUCACAAAAGGAAGCAGUUAGGUGGACACAUGGAAAAUACAUUUGUCUUUGUUGUUAAUUUACAAUUAAAGGAUGAAAUGGAUUCAUUAGUCCAACUACAAUAGUCGAGAAAUGAAUUGGCUCCGACAUGUGGUGUGAACAGAUCAAAACUCACAUGUGUUUGCUUCCAAGGACUAACUACUGCAGAAAAAUUUCAUGGAUCACUUCCUUAACAUCUAAAAAAUCUAAGUUGAGAGUGACUUCUGUUUGAACUGUGGUAGGCGUCUAUAUAUUUCUCGAUGUUGCUGUGUAGUGUCCUUGCUACUACUCAUCUCGCAUUGAAAGAGUACCUGACAUAAGUUUGUCUUUGGGGAAAAAAAAAUCAUUACAAAAAAUGAACAAAUUAUUAACAUUUAAUUCUCUGUCCUAUAGAACUUCCUUGCAGCCUAGGAUGGUCCAGCCCAGGUACUGCUAUGAUUUCAAUGCUAUGAUGCAUGCAUUCUUACUUACUGAUAUAGGAAGAUUUUAGGAUUUUAAUUGUUUUAGGACUUUAAUAUUUACUCUCCUUUGUUUCCUGCAAAAAUGAUUGUUUUUGAUAUUAUUCCACUAAUUUCUUUUUGUUAUUUUGCUGCUCUUUGUUACACAGUUUGACAGUCCGGAAGGAGGGGGUUGGUAUGUGCAUACAUCAAUCAUCCCUUGUUCAAGCCAUUUUUUUUUCUAUACUCCUUUUUCUCAUUCUAGCUGCUUUAUGCUUUAGCUACAAUCUUUUUCUCCCAUAACCUAAUUGUGGAAUGAUAGGUCGUUGCACGAAGGUUCACCGAAACAUCAAUUUGGAGAAGCUGCGUAAUGGCUAUCUGUUUACAGAGGUGCUGUCUGUAAACCUACUAUAACUUUUUUUUUCUUUUUUUAAGUUUGAAUACAAAUUUCACUCAUGUUCAUGAUUUUUGAUUUUCUCUUUUCCCUCCCUUAGGUGCAUAGCAGGAUCCUCAAAGAUUUUUCUAAUUCCUUAAGUUUUUCCUGUUAAAUAGAUGAUGAGUAGGCAAUUGUGGUUUCUCCAGGUUUCACAAUGAGUAGUUUUGGUUGAUUGAAACAUGCUAAUCUUCUCUGAUCAUAUCAAUUCAUAAAGCACUAGAUCUUCUGCCUCCUUGGCUGAACCUCUGUUUGGUCUUUAAUUAACUAUUAAUUCUGUUAGUUGGUUUAUCUUAUUAUUCUGUUACCUCUGAACUGAUGUCUUGGUUUAUUAUGCCUUUUCUUCACUAAACAAUAAUGGAUGCUUGAAUUAGAUUGCUCGGCGUGAACUUCAACACCUUGAGAAGUAUCCCAAUGCAAAGGUCAUAAGCCUUGGGAUAGGUGAUACUACACAGCCUAUACCAGACAACAUUUCUAUGAGCAUGGCUAAUGUAAGUUUUGCAUACUGAACUUUUUUUGUCUUACUAUCUUAUCUCUCUGCUUAUUUUAAGAUCAGUAUUCAGCUCAAAGCUCAUUAAGAUCCCAAAUCAGCCUUAGUUAAAGUCAGAUGGGCAUAUAUUUUACAGUCAAGUUCUGAUAAAAUAUUUUCUUACUUUAGAAUUGAUGAUUUAAUUGGAUAGCUUGCCUAGUUUUAUCCCUGUAUUUUCUUUAACCUUUAUGUCACCAAGUCACUAUCAUUGAGACAAAGCUUGGAAUGAGGUUAUUCAAAGCCAUAUUGAGAAUAAAGGGAAAAUAGGUCUGGUAAACAGUGAUAACAUAUAGAUUAUGUUUUAUAUUAGUUUGCUUAAUUGAGAAGCUGGAGAAUUACCUAGUGAAAGAAGACUAUUGUACACAGGCAGGUUUUCCAGGAAUUAUUCUUCCCAUAUUGAGUGCCCCCAAAGGGGCAGCCCAGUUGAUUAAGGGCUUGUGAUCCAGUGCUUUGCUGUAUCGAAGUCUCAGGUUUGAUCCUUCUGGUGAGCUUAAAAUUCCACCCUUUGUUGUCUCAUGGGUCAUAGGGUUAGAGUGCCUGACUGACCCCCAGUUUAGGGCCUGGCAUGCGCGGACCCAUCGUCCAAGUUAGUGCAGGAGAGAGUCUGGGUUGUCACAAAAAAAAAAAAAAUCAUCCAUAUUGAGCAAGUAAUUUAUAUAUGUAGUAAAUCAACAUGAUAAAAUAUAAUGGUCCCUGCCAUUUUCCAAUAAAGUUGGUACCAUCCUCCUUUAAAUUGUCAUACAUACAAGGAUAGACAAACUUGGGGGGCGGGGCGGGGGGGGGGGGGGGGGAGAAUCUUACUUGUCUACAUGUAAAAUGGAGAAAAAAUAGUAUAAUAAAAUACUCAUACACAAGUUCAUGCAAGAGUAUAAUGUAGAAAAUCAUUGAAUGCAAUGAAAAUUCGUAUUUUUCUUUUCCUUUUUUUCUGUUGUACAAUAGUUCUAUUCCUUGGAUGGCAAUGUAGGAGGCAAUGACUUUUGGCAUCCACUUUUGUGUUACAAGGGACAAUUAUUGCUUGAGUUUUGUUGAAAGAUAAUUGUUCACUAGUCUUUUGUUGUGCAGUAUGCUCGUGCCCUUGCAACAGCCGAAGGUUACAGAGGAUAUGGAGCUGAACAAGGGAACAAGGUAUCCAGAAAGCCUGUUUUGGCAGUUUCAUGUUGUUUGUCAGUUCAACAAGCAUGUAUCUAGCAUUUAUAGUACUGGACUUCAUUUCUUGAAAUCAUAUUGAUGCAAAAUACAAUUUUAAUUAUGGUUAGGAUUUAUUCUGUAUCAGAGCUUAGUAGAAUUACUUUUCAGAGUUCAAGUGGGGUUACUCAACUGUGUUGGUUUGGAAUAACUUAAUUCUGUUAGUCAAUUAGUUUUGGCUGACUGCUGUUUAUGACAACCGUUAUAAGUAAACAUUUUACAUUAUUUUCAAAAGAGGCUUGAUUAGUGAUAGUAGAUUUUUUCUACAACUCUCACAAAAAGGUAAUUCAAUCCCCUUCCUCUCUGUUCUUCUCACCUCUCUAGUUCUUUUCUACUCCUCAACCCGAAUUUCUGCUCUUUAUUCUUUCCUCACUUCUACAGUCUUCCCUCCUAUUGUACAUCACGGAAUCAUCUUUGUUAAAACAUUUCAAGUAUUGUGGAUUUGCAGCAACAGUAGUCCCUUAUAUGCUAUCCUAUUUGUUUUCAAUUAUGUUUGCCAGGCUGAUGAAUUCAGCUGGUAAGUCAACUCAAUGAGUGUUUUCUGUUGAAAUGGUUAUAUUACCAGGACCUAUAAAAGUUUCACUUUUUAAUUUUAGAAACUUGAUGCUGCAAAUUUCUGCAUUUCUGCAGAAAUAGAUCAGCCUUUAGAUAUACCGAUUUGCAUGAUAAUUCAGUUUUGAUUAAGUUUUGUUUCCUGACUCUCUUUAUAUGUAUCAUAUUUCAACUGAGACAAUGUUUUUAUCGUGUAUCAGAUAUAUUCUGUGGUAUUUUAAUUUCUGGUUGUGAAUAGCAGGAAUUACGGAAAGCAAUAGCAGAAACAUACUAUAAAGAUGUACUAGUGAAAGAAAGUGAAGUUUUUGUAUCAGAUGGAUCACAGUGUGAUAUUGCUCGCCUUCUGGUAUUCAAUUAUUCCAAGUUUAAUACAUAUUAUGUAUAAUUUUUAUUUUUUCCAGUUGCAGUUGGUUUUACAAAAUCCGGCUUAAAUUUUUCAAAAAGUCUAGAAAAAAAUAUUUCAUCUUAGUUUACUGCAAAAAGCUUGAAUGUUGAUUACUUUCCGUAUAUGCAGCUGGUUUUAGGUUCCAAUGUAACAGUAGCUGCUCAAGAUCCAUCAUUUCCAGUAGUAUUCUUCUCUUCACCUUAGUCUUAUAUAUGUGUAUGGGUAUGGGUAUUUAAAACGUGCGUACAUAUAUAAUCUCUAUUUAUAUGCUUUUCAUGUACUUUUCAUGGUCGUAGUUAAGUAAAGGAUGUCUAAUAUCCUAACAGCUCAGAUUAUUGAAUUAGAGAUGCCUGACCUUAACUGUUCAGAGACUUCUAUCUUCUUUUCUUUAGUUCUUAAUGCUUUAUGCUUGCCUUUGAUUUUGGUUAUACAGGAAGUAGAGAUCUGUUGAAAACAAUUCAUUAAGCUCCAAAAUCUUAGUAACCUACUUUCUGGCAAAUAGUUGUUUGGUCCUAAAGCCAUAGGAAUUUGGGCAUUAUUCAUGAAUCAAAUGUUUUGAUGCAACUUACUUCGUUCUCAUUGGUAGUAUUGUUAGGGUAUACCAAAUUUAAAACCUUACUAAUGAUAUAAACAACUAAUAUAGAGCAAGUAAUGAUCGAUUUCACGGAGACAAUGCUAGUUUUAUUUAUUAUCAACUCUAAAACAAGGACUUAAAAUAAUGAUAAUAAUAAUAAUAAAAACUAAAAAUAUAAAUUAAUCUAACUAAAGAAAAUGCCAACUAUAAAUAAAAGGGGUUUUAUGAAUUUUUAACUAAAUGACAAGAAAUAAAGAAACUAAAGCUACGAAGAUAAUAAUUUAAUAGAAACGCUAAUUAAAGGAAAAAGAAAUAAUAAUAAUGACAACUUUGGUCAAAGGAUCAUUCGCCACCACCAAACAUGCACAUAAUCAAUAUAUCAAUUCUAUCAUCAAUUUCCAUUAAAACUAUCAACCUUAGACAACAAUAAGCUCCGUUAAUCUCUAUCUUUCCUUAAUAUGUUGUUAGGUAAAACAAGUUCUUCACCUAAUCUCUAACCAUUAAAUAAUUUAAAACAAGAUCUCUAAAUUUAAGAUAAUGGAAGCAUUAAGUAGAGAAAGAUCUUAGGUUGAUCAAGGUAAUAAAAACACAAGUUUAGAUUUUUUAGCCUAGGUUACGUUCUCCAAUUGUAAUCACUGAUUCCAAUCUGCUAUUAAUGAUUAAAAUCUCAUGACAAUAACGGAUCAAGUGUUUCAAUCUAGCAGUAAAACUAUUCAAAUCCUAUCUAAUUAGCCACUCAAAGAAGAUGAGUAAAAUUAUAAACAUUAAUUAUAAAAGAAUAUAAACAAUUUCAAUUAAAUAAAUUGAAUGAUGGAAAUUAAAUAUUAAUUAUAAAUCAUGUUUAGGGUUUUAAAUUCACCCUCAACCAAAUAGAAAAUCUAGCCUAAUAUAAUUGAAUUGAGAAUAAAAGAGUUGACAAAACUAGUCAUGGAGAUUAAUCGAAGCGGCCAGCUGUGGUUUGUCUAUAUUUGGCCGAAUAGCUCUUGCUCACUUGUCUUCCGCCAACUCCUCUUCCUAUUUUCUCUAUAAAAAUUAAGAUAAAAAUUUAACAUAAUAAAAUAUAAUUUAACAAAAUAACUAAAUUAAGAACUAACUAAAAUAAUUAGAAUAUUUAAGACCAAAACAAGAAAAAGAUGGAGAAAUUAAUAAUAAAAUAUAGAGAAAAUAUGCACUUAUCACUCAUUCUUCUAGCAAGUAAUAAGUAUUUUUUGUUGUGUGGGAAAGGCCAAUGGAACCCUUUAAAUGAGAGGUUUACACGUGGGACAAACUAAAAUAAACUAGCAUAAAAUCUAGCAUAUUGAUAUUAGAUUUAUUUGAAGAGAAUUAAGGGAGUCCACAACACUUAGAGCUUGAGACUAUGCCCUGAAUGACUCAAACUCUUCACCAUUUCUAGUUUUCACUAUAAGCAAAUUGAUAAACAAUUUUGCUCUUUUGGUUUCCUCAAACUACAGAAACAAAUCAACAAACAAUUUUCCUCUUUUAGUUUCCUAAAGCUACCUCGCUUUUAGAUAUCUUUAUAGAUCAAGAGAAUCUCAUAAAUGAAUGCCAGUUCUUUUAAAUUCUCUCUCCCUCUCUCUGUUUCCUUUGUGUUAUUUUUCCUUGCAAAAGUGAAUCUACUUCUACUUUCUUGGUUGUUUAUUUAAGAAACCUUGUAAUAUUUCAAGUGUGCAAACCCACGAUGAUUUUGUCUUUGGAACAGAACCAUGAAAUAUUUCUAGAACAUACAGAAGGAAAAUUCCAAUAUACUUCUAGAUCAUAAAGAAGGAAAAAGGAAUCCCAGUUUUUCAGAGACAUCUUAAAUAUAUAAACACAAAUUUUCUCUUAUUGUUUCCUCAAAGUAAACUAAACUUUUAAAUGCCCUUACUGAUAAGGAGAAUGGCAUAAAUGAAUACCAGUUAUUUUAAAUUACCUCUCUCUCUUUCCUCUUUUUUGUUUUGUUUUAUUUUCUUUAUUCUUUUUCUCUCUCUGUCUUUUCUUUCCAUAAGUGAUUUUAGUUCUACUUUUUUGGUUGCGUAAUUAAGAAACCUUGUAAGAUUGGAACCCAAUUCUGAUAUGCUUCUAGAACACACAGAAGAAAAAGGGAAUCCAAUCUUUUGGAGACAUCCUUGAUAUUUAAAUGUGUUUCUUCCUACAUUUUCUUCCGUUCUAUAUCCCUUUUGACAUGAUUUGGUAGAUUUGUUUAUUCUUUGGCAGAAUAUUAACUCACAAUACGAGCUAGAUAUGAUCACCUAAGCCACAUGGUUAUUUGUUUCACUGGUUUGUAUUUAUACCCUGGUCAUGGCACUGAGGUUUUUGAUGAUGAAGAUUUGCUUCUGACAGGCUUAUAUAGACUCGAGUGUUAUAGUCGGUCAGGCUGGUGAUUUAGAAGAUGAAGUUGGGAAGUACUGUAAUAUUGAAUAUUUGGAAUGCGGACCAGGAAAUAAUUUCUUUCCUGACUUAAAAGGCACUAGCAGAACAGACAUAAUCUUCUUUUGCUCUCCAAAUAAUCCGACUGGUCAUGCAGCAACCCAAAACCAAUUAGAGCAACUUGUGGAGUUUGCAAGGAACAAUGGAUCGAUUAUUAUUUUUGACUCCGCAUAUGCAGCUUAUGUUACAGAUGGUUGUCCAAGAUCUAUCUACGAAAUUCCUGGUGCCAGAGAGGUAAAUUCCAUUGUAUGCCAUCUGGCUAAGUAGUUCCGGAUUUUGACCACUGUGUUAGAUGUUCAUAUCCAGUAUUGUGUUUGUCUUUGUGAUAUCAGAAGCUAUCCAUCUGCCAUUUUAUAAAGAUAAACACAUUGAUCUUAUUGUCUUUGUCUUUGUCAUAUCAGAAUCAAUCCAUGUGCCAUUUUUUAAAGGUAAACACAUUGAUCUCUUUCACCUUUGGGUGAGGUGAAAUCUAGAAAACAUGAACGUGCACAAUUAUGAUACCUUUAGUCCAGCUCAGCCACCCACCAUAAUUAUCAAGUAGGUAACUUGCUUUUGGCUGGUUGUAAUUUGAGACAUAUGCCCUAUUGAUUAUCAUCUGCUUGGACGAGUCAUCAAUUGCAUGCUCAGCAUUGAAUAGUAUGCAGAAAAAUGCUUUCUUCUCCGUUAUAACUUUAAUAAUUCUCCAUUAUAACUUUAAUUUUUAUCAUUCAGGUUGCAAUCGAAAUUUCAUCUUUCUCCAAAUUUUCUGGGUUUACAGGCGUGCGUCUUGGUUGGACAGUAGUUCCUGAAGAACUCUUAUUUUCAAGUGGGUUCCCUGUCAUAAAUGACUUCAAUCGCAUUAUAUGUACUUGCUUUAAUGGAGCAUCGAAUAUAGCACAGGCUGGUGGUUUAGCAUGUCUUUCUUCGGAGGGUUUGGAGGUAAGUUUAAAUAUGGGAACGCACUGCAAAAUCAAAUUAGUUUUAGCUGUUGUCUUUAACUUGUCAUUGCAUUAGUGUUCGAUAUGUAUAUGCAUGCACAUACAAUGCACUUAUGUUUGUGCUCGUGGUUAGUGCUAGGCCUGUGACCAAUCUGCAUCAUUUGUCCCUGCUGUCUACUUUAGCUUAUCCUAGUUCAUUUUUUUGAAGCCACAGUGCAGCUUCUCUGGUAAGAAGCAGCUUUUCAGCUCCUAGAUUUGGGCUUCAAUGGGUACUUGAGUGUUUAUUAUUUUUUUCCAAAAAAAAGAAUUCGUAGCUCAUUUUUUAAAUUUGGAGGGCCAAUUUAUAGUUUGUUAUGUUGAAGUUGUAGAGCUAUCCACAAUAUUACUACCUUCAUCCACUACCUUAAGACUGUCAGUAGAAAAUUGUCGACUGGAAAUUUUCUGGAUUUAUUUCUAUGGGUAUUAAUGGAAGAAGUGCAGAAUAGAUACUCUCUUCAGUUAGCUUCUUGAAGCAGGAAGCAAUAAUAUAUCUUUACAAACUUGUAAUUUGCUUUUCUGUUGUCCUUGACGAAAAAAUUCCUUGGAAUGAAAGUGUCCUAGUAGUUACGGACAGCAUCAAGUUUUUCUUCCUCAAGCUACAUCAGUAAUCUAUAGAAUUGUUUAAAGCAAGCAAAAGAAUUACUUUAAAUGAUUGCCAAGCCAUGGUCGGAAAACAUAAAUAAUUGGAAUUCUAGAAUUUUGACACGUGUUUGAUUAAAUCUAACCCUUGAUAAUUUUGUACUUUGACUUAUGACAAGAAGGAUGAAUAGUAUAUUCAUUGUUUGAAAUUUUCUCAGGCUGUACAUUCGGUGGUUGACUACUACAAGGAGAACACAAAGAUACUGAUUGACACUCUUGCUUCCCUCGGUAUAAAGGUCUAUGGGGGCAUAAAUGCCCCCUACGUAUGGGCACAUUUUCCGGGUAGGAAAUCUUGGGAUGUAUUUGCUGAGAUUCUUGAGAAAACUCAUAUAACAACUGUUCCAGGUUCUGGAUUUGGUCCAGGUGGUGAAGAAUACAUAAGAAUUAGUGGUUUUGGGCAUCGGGAAAGCAUCCUCGAAGCCUCGAGGAGGCUGGAAGCCCUUUUCUGAUAGUUGUAAUAACCUUUACGGUUCCUUUCACAUCUAUCUUUAUGUAUUAUGGAAUAAAGCCAAGUGUCAUGGCCUGAUCAGGAUCUUGAAGUACUGCAGUAUGUUUGUGAUGUAAGACAAUGUAGCCAGUUACAUGUGUUUGGAUGUUGCUACUAGCCCGUUUGAGAACCUUUUAUGCUGUUUGAGACAUAUGAAUCAGUUUUUUAAGUCAUCUUCGAGAAUGUAUUACCCAUUUUAUUUUAAAACAGUGUUGCUGAUACUUUCUACUGCUAAAAUAAUCCAUCAUGUUCUAAAGUUGAGUUGUUUGGAAGACUGAAGAUCUGAUGUAAUUUUAGUCUUGCUGUUGCAGUUGUCUUCUCAUUGAAGUAGCAAAGUAAAAGUAUAGCAGACUGACAGUUUACCAUGAUCUUACAUUUUCAAGUGCUAAUUUAGUGUUCUUCAUAGAAAAAACAGGCUUUCUUACAGCGUUCAUUCCUUUAUUUGAAAAAGACUCUUAUCUAUUUUGGAGAAAAAUAUAUAUAAAUAAGAAAAACAUACUUAACUAUUACAUCAAUGAUGUCACAGUCACUUCGGAGAAAACUCACUUUUUUUAAAAAGAGAAGGUAAGGGGGGUUGGGCAAGCUCAAAUACAAUUUUUAUCCCCCUUACUACUCCCAAGAAUCGAACUCGAGUUUUGGUAGAGGCUACAGUUGCACUGCACUUCGGAGAACACUCACUUGGAUAUCCCCAACUGCCGGGACUAAUUCUCUAUUCUAUACAAAAAUAAAAGGAAAACUCGUCUGCCAUAGAUCAUAAGUUAAUUGCCAAUUCUAAGGUCAAAGAUUUGACCGCAGAAGCAAUCAGAACAAACUAUGAUAUCAAACUCUUCUAUUAUUGACUCUAGAGAAAGGGGAAAAGGAAAAAAAGAAAAUUGAAAGGGUGCAACCCAGUAGCAUCAAAGAUUAAUUGUUUGACAGCUAACCAGCUCAGCGGAUCCAGCAUUCCUUAUGGCAAUCAUCUUCCAUGUAUCUGUUUCUGAUCCUGAAGCUGGUUCAUUUAUGCAGUCAUGGAAUGAAGAUGAUGAAGCAGACGGCAUGGAAGCAAAAUGAUUUUUCACAUCAGCCUGCAAGACUGCUAUGUUGUGAUUAGCAUCAUUGGUUAUCACAUGAAGCUUUCCAAGUAAACCAGCAAGUAGAUAUGGUGACUCUGAAUCAGUAAAGUUUGGUAAGGGUACAUCCCCAACCACAACUUUCCAAGUAUCGUCAUGAUAAUCAUACACCUUGAUCUUUGCACUAUCAAGUGCACCAGAGGGAUCUAGUGCGUACAGCUCACCUUCAACUGUGAUGCUCAAUUUUGUUCCAGCCUGUCUCACCGGCCAACCCUCACCCAUCCCAACUGGCAUUUCAACCCAUGAAUUUACAUCUGGAUCAUAAACCUCUCCUCCAACAUCAACAAAAAAAGGCCAGAAGUAUAAACUCUGAGGUACAAAUAACCUUCCUCUAUAUGAUGUCAUUCCAGUGGCAAUGGGCUUAAGUAAAUCAGCCAAAAAUGCCGUUGGUAGCACCUGAGCUUUUGAGAAAGGCAUACUCAGUAUCUCCGACCAUAGACCUGUACGAGGAUCAAAAACUUCAGCAGAUUGAAGAGGGGUCAGUCCACCAGGACCUCUGGUAACCCCUCCAACAGCAUAGAGCUUGUUGUUUAAGAUGCCAAUCUUAGAAUAGGCUCUACCAACUGACAUGGAACUCACUUCACUCCAAGCAUUUAGAACAGGAUCAUACCGCCACACAUUUCUCAUGGCUAAGGCUCUAGAAAAUCCCCCCAACACAUAGAGGCAACCAUCAACUGCCCCAAUGGAACAGCCACAAAAUCCCAUUCGAUCCAAAGCAUCCUUCUUCCCAAGCCAGCCCCUUAUGAGAUCAGCUAUUUUAAUAGUUGAUCCCAAUACAUUCCACAUCCGGAUUGCCGCCGAACCUCUCCUCAAUUCAUCUUCAAAGAUAAUGCUAGGCAUUGGUGGCAACCUUUGCCAUCUUCCGGCCAAGGGAUCCAAAGCAUGCCAAGAAAGCUUGUCGUCUUCAACCUUUGUUAAUAUAUAAAGCCAUUCUUCAGUUGUUCCAAGUUCUUUUCUGAAACUGAAAAGCUCAGAACUUGUAAUGGCAGCUUUCCAAGCCCUGGACACUAAUUUUACAUUCAAGUAGUAAAUUCUAGGUAUUCGAGCAAGAAUCUGAAGCGAUAUCUCAUCAGGAAGACUUGGAAUCAAUCGUGGACUUUCGUCAAAAAAGCUAGACAACAACCUCUGCCUCUUGCAAGUUUCAUACUGCAAAGCCUCAGAAGGUUUAGUUGCUCCAACCCUUGAAGUAUUUCGGCUUAAUAAAGAACCCAUCAAAAUCCUUCAAAAAGCAACAAAUAUCAAUCCAGCUUUUUGUAUUAAUCUGUUUGAAGCCACUGCUUACAAGAAGGUAUCAGUAAUUAUCAUAUCAAUCUCACAAUUUAAUACCAAUGCAUUUCAUAGGUAGCUACUAAACGAGUUAUUUAUCAAACAGUUCAAUAAUCUCGUCUAAUUUCAGAAAAUCAAAAUAAAUCUCUUGUCUAAUUUCAGAAAAUCAAAAUAACAACAGAGUGAAGAUGAAGCUUAAGUUUCAGUUUUAGUUUCUUGGCAACCAAACAGAAAUCCUAAUGAAAAAAUUCAUCAAUUCAAGAAUAAAACAAGAGCAAUUUAACAUUAGCAUCGAAAACAAAAAUACCGAAAAAAUUCCGACCACAUAAGAUGACAAAAAUUGGAAACUUACGAGUGCGAAUUGCAACUGGAGCUGAAAGGAAAACCCCAAAAAGUUAAUAAAAAAAGAAAAAAAAAAGGGAAACUGAAACUGAUGCAAGAGACAAAGAUACCAAAGAUCAUUCAAUUCUCCCCAAAGUAAUAAUAACAAUAACAUUGUUUUUUCUUUUUAAUUUUAUUUAUUUAAUUAUUAUUAUUAUUAAAACUGCAUACGUUACCUUACCACAUCAGCAAGCCCAGGUCAGGCUGCCACGGAAUUCACGGAAACAAUUUUAAUUCCCUUAUUUUGUACCAUUUUUCAAUUUAUGUAGUUUACUUGACAAUAUACUAUAGGGUCCGAUAAUAGAUUCAGAAGACUUCAGCUAGACUUUGGAAAAUUGAAAAUUGAACAUUUGCACGCUGUCUUGCGCCUCUACUUAAAAAAAUUUUAUAAUAAAAUUUAACUAUACUUUAAAACAAAUUAACCAUUUGCCACUACUCAAACUCAAUUUGAGGAUGUGAGUUCAAGUCGACGUGAGGUUUAUUUAAUUUUUUAUUUUAAAUAUUUAGAUUAAGAUAGAUAUUUUUAUUAUUUAUAUUAUAGUGGAAUUUGGAGAAGUGGAAAUUCUGGGAUAGAGAAUUUAAAGUGGGAGUGAGAUAUAUUUUUUACUUAUACUGAAAUGGAAGUAUGGAAUAAGAAUUAAAAUUUUAUUUAUGAGUUUACUUUAUUUUGGAUUAAGAGUAAAUUAUUUUAAAUUAUAAUUUUACUUUUAUUAGAAUAAUUAUGGUCCUUAAUUAUAAAGUGAAUAAAAAAAUAUAUAAAACAAACUAGUAUUUUACUAUUAAUUUUAAUUAUAUAAAUUCAUAAUAAUUAUUAAUUAUGUAAAUCAUAAUUUUUUAUUAAUUUUAAUUUCAAGUAUGUAAAUUAAAAAUUAUUGAUAAGAACGAGACAAAUGAAAUAUUAUUUUAAUAAUAUAGUAGAAAAUUAAUAUUUUCUUAAAAUAAAUUAAGAAAAUUAAUAUUUUCUUAAAAUAAAUUAUUUAUUAUUAUUAAUUAUAAAUAUUAAAUAAAUAUAAUACUAUUAAAAUUAAAAUAAAUAUAACAAUUUUAUAUUUUCAAAUAAAGAUAUUAUAUAAUAAUAUAUUAAUUCUCUAUAAAUACAAUAAUAUUAUUGUUAAGUAAUUUUAAUUUAGAAUUAAUGUUAAUUAUUAUUUUUAACAAAUAUAAUAUUAUUAAAUAAUUAUAAAAUUUUAUUUAAAUAAAUAUAAUCUUAUUAUUUUAAAAAUAAAUCUAACAUUAUUUUAUUUUAAUAAAUAUUUAAUAAAUGAAAGUUAAAAAACGAAUAGAUGGGGUGGGCAGUGGCGGAACAACAAUUGGACUAGAAAAAUUAUUUAAGACCCUUGUGUUUUUAUUAAUUUAUAUAAAGAUAGCAUUUUUAUUUUUUUUCAUAUAUGUCCCUAUUUCAGAUGCCCUUAUGUUUUCAUCAAUUUCAUGUAACAACAGAGUUUUUUUAUUUUAUUUUCAAAUAUAUCCCUAGUUGAGUUAUAUUUUUGUUCAAUUAAAAUAAAUGACUUAUUUUAUAAAAUGAUUAAAUUAUAUAUUUAUUGAAUAGAUUGAAAACAUUAGGAGUUUAAAAUGUUAUUACUGCUUUAAUUUGUUUUUAAAAAUUUUAAUUGAAAAAAAGUAUGUCCAUGUAAUAUAACAUUAUCAUUAGUAUUAGAGGACUAAAAAAACAUAUAGUAAAAAUUAUUGACAAUUUCAUAAUUUUAUAUGAAUUUUGAGAUUUUAUUUAUUAGUUACAUUAACUAUGACAAUAAGUUAAGCUCCCAAGGGCGUAGUCGGGUUGGUUGUAGUGCAGCUAUAGUCUCUACCAAAACCCGAGUUCAAUUCAUGGGGGUGGUAAAUGGGUAAAAAAAACUGUAUUUGGGCUUGCCCACCCCCCUCCUCCCUCCUUACCUUUUAAAAAAAAAGAAAAAAAAAACUAUGAGGAUAAGUUAUAAAGUAAUACUUGAGUAUUUUGAGGAAAUUUUGAUAGAAGAAUCAUCAGCAUCUGAUUUUUAAAGAGAGUAAGAGUGCUUGGUAAAGAAAUAACGACACGCAAAUACAUUUUUGCUAGAUUGAGUUUAGUUUAUUAUAGAAACUUUUGACUAAUAAUAUUUUUAUAAUUUAAAAAUAUGAAUAGAUUUUAGUUGUUUAAUUUAUUUAAGCUUGGUAAUUAAGUACUUUUCAAACAUAAAAGUUCUACUUGCAAUUUUUAAUUGAUUAUAAAUGUAUUUAUUGAUUUAUUCUAGCUUGAAAUUCUUAAUUCAUUUAUUAAUUCUUAUAUAAUUACAUGUUAUUAUGGUUGUAAUGUCAAAUUCCAUUAUUGAAAAAUAAUGUUUUUAUAUUUAAAUUAUCUUUUGUUUUCUACUCUUUUUGUAUAAUUAUUUUUAUUUAAAGUGCGUAUUUAUAGGGUUUUUCAUGCCCCCCUUAUUUGAUGUUCUUCUUUCUACUUAUGAAUGUUUAUGCUCGCUUCAAAAUGUAAAAAUUUUAGUUUAGCCCGGGGUAAUAUAAAGCUCUAGGACUGCGUCGGAGAUGAGAGUGAGAAUCUCAUUCCUCAUUCCAAAAAUGAACAGGAACCAUAGAAGUGAAAAUUCCACUCUCCUUAAAUGAGUAAAUAGACAUUGUAGUAGGAGGGAUCCACACUCACACUCACACUCUGGUAGGUAAACACAACCUUAAUAUUAUUAGAGUAGGAUUUUUGAAUAAUUGACCGGUAAAUCUAUGGAUUAUAUUACUACAAGUGUUUGUAUCUAGACUCUCAGUAGACUCAUUAUUGUAAUUAUUGGAUAUUUGAAAUUUUUUAUAUUUAUGGUUCGUCGGUUAGUUUAUGAAUUUCUUUAAAAAAGUUUUAUGUAUCUUUCAUAUUUUCUAUUUUUUCUAAUUUCCUAUUCCUUAAUUCCUAGGAAUACUUUCUGUUUUUGUGGUUAUGAAUUUGUCGUAAUCUCUAUACAAUAAUGGCUAUUCAAUAAAACCUACAACAAAGAAUUCUCUCCAGGCUCAUGGUAUCAGAGAGUGGAAGAAUUUGAUAAGCUUUAUUGUCAAAAUAGCAAUCAAUUAAUGGGUAAUGAGAAUUCAGCUUAUACAAGUGCUGUGCAGAUAUUCUAAAAUGUCAUUUGAAUGCUCUCCACAAACCUUAUCAAACACCAAUCUGAGUGUGAUUUGAUCCUCAUUCUCUUAAAAUAAUCCAGCAAAAGUUUAAUGGGACUUUAUCAAACUCCAGUUCGAAUGUGAUUAAGGUUUAAGAAACUUGGCGUCGUAUACAAAGAUACGACAGUAAUGUAUUGCAGGAACCCUAAUGUUGAAAUCUAAGACUAUAAGACUCCAAAAAGUGCAUUGGGAUGUGUUUAGAUGAUGGAAUAUCAGUGGUAUACACGAGUCGGUAUUAGCUUUCUUAGUUUUGCCUAUUGUGUGACAACGGAGGAAAGUAGCUAAAUAAAUUUAUCAGGUUCCUUUAAGGAAGCCGGAACCUCCAAACUACAAAUGGUUUUUGCUUUCGACAUCUGAGCUGCCCCUGAAGUAUUAUUCCAUAACUUGAUGCAAUGAGGAAUACAAUUGUCUUUCCAUAAAACUAUGCACGUGCCAACAAAUUAACUACCUAAAUAACUUGGACUCUAAAUUAUUCAACAGCUAGGAAGACUUAUUCAAAGCACAAAAGAAACAAAUUAAAUAAAUAAGCUGGAACAAAAUAUAGGACAGCUUAGUGUUUGAGUUGUGUUUCAACAAGUAACACGAGAUUUGACAGUUUUGAGCUGCUUGCUGACUAAGUUAUUGGCUUUUGAGGAAAAAAUGAAAAAAUAUGACAUACCAAUAGUUUUAAGGCAUGUAUAAUGCGUCUCUUAAGGAAUAGUUUGCUAAUGGACUCUACUAAAAUAUUCCCUAAAUACUGUUAUUGUCAAUCGAAUGAUGGUAGAGAGAGAUGAAAUAAUAAAAAAUGAUUUACUUUCUCUUGUUGGUAAUAAAGGGGAAUUAAUGACCUAGUUGUCGUCCUUCAAUCGACACGAUAACUCUUUGCCUUUAAUUUAGCUUAUGGAAAAUUGAUUACAAAUUAAUUGAUUCCUUGAGUAAAAGAUCAUUGCAUCAAUUGAUUUGUUCACUUCUUGUGCUUUUAAUUCAAAUUCAUUGCACCAUUUAAUUAACCAUAGUUCAUUUGAUUACAAACUCUCUUUAUCCUUAUAUCAAUAAUAUUACAAUCUAUUUUACAAUAUCUCACUAGGUUAUAAUAUUAUUAUACAAAAUACAAUCACACUGAUAUUCUUAUGUGAUUGACAUUAAAAAGUACAUAUUUAAUAAAGAUAAAAUUAUCAAUUUUUUCGCUUAUUGUGUGUAUUAAUGCGCUAAUUAUUCCUAAAUUAUCUUACAUUCCCCAAAAUAUAUUUUCAUGUUAAAUUAAUUUGAAAUAUAUUAAUUUUAUUUUAAUUUUAUAUUGUAGAUAUAUUUCAAGAAUAAAGAGGAGUUGUUAUUGGAAGCGGGAACAAAAAGAAUUACUGGAGUAAUUUGGAAUGCAUUAUUAAGGAGAUGUAAUUAAUAAAAAAAAUAUUAAAAAAAAGAAAAAAAAGAAAAAGAAAAAAGGUGAAAGAUGCACGUGAUGGUCAGGUGGCCAUUUUCUCUACGUACAUAUAUAUUAUAAAAAUAAAAUAAAAUAAAAUAAUUAAUAAUAAAAUAACUAAAGAAGGAUGCAUUCUUGCCUAUAAAAGACAAGGAGAUGCGGGCAUGAGGGAUUUCUUUCUUUUCUUUUCUUUUCUUGUUUUCUUCUAUAUCAUUUUUCUUUUAAUACAUUCCAGAAGUUUGUCAAAUAAAAAAGAGUGUUUUAUUUUCUUUCAACAUGAAUAGCUAAUUUUACUAAGCUGAGGUGAAAGGUGAAGUUCAAGGCUUCAAAUCAUUAAAUUAACUACUUUCUCAAGUGAGUUUUAAGCUUAUUUUAUUAUUUUCUAGUUGUUUUUAUGUCAUGUUAAUUUGUAGAUCUCCUUGGAUUUAUAUGGUAUUUUGACAUAAUGUCGACACAUUAAUAUAGUUGUGGCACAUUAGGUAUUUGAUUUCAUAUUUAUCCAUACACAUAUUUAGUUAAAAAUUAAAUGACAUAAUAAUUAACUGGUAAAAGUGAGGGAAAAUAUAAAAAUGCGAGAGUAUUUAAACUAUAAUUUGAAUAUUGUGAGUGGAUCUUGUAACCUUUGAUACGAAAUCCCACAAUGAAACUUUGAAACUCACACUUAAAUUGUAGUUUCAACUUCCCAAGAAAGUUCUAAACAGAUUUAUGACAAACAAAACCUUGAGCCAAUGCUUAAGAAAAGCAUGAACCAAAGGUAUAGGGAAUGAUAUUGAUGCCACACUCAAGAAAUAGAUGAGAAGGUGAGUGAUAAAUCUAAAUUUGGAACGCCACAAGAAUGUAAAUUCUUGAUAAGUUCACUAGUUCUCAAAAGAACCAAAGAAAGAAUAAUCUUUCAAAUUCAAAUAACAUUAAUCUCUUAAUUUUCAUACACAGCAAGGUUGUUGAGUUUAAAUAGGCUAAAAGAAACCCAAGAUCCUAAAAAUACAAAUGGAAACAUUGGAACAACCCUCCAAGUAUAGGUUUGUUAAAGGGUGCUUUAAAAGCCUUCACCAACCCACCAUUAUUAAUGAUAGACUUACCUACCACAUUGAUAAACUUGACACAAAACAAAUAAAUGAAGUUGAACAAUCAAAGGAGUUGUUUGAAUUCCCAAGCCUGAAUAAGCUAUAAUAAAUUGAUCAUAACUCCUUCUAGAGAACUUCAAAUCCAGCUCAGUAAAAUGCAUUAGAAAGCUAACUUAAUUAUGUUUCCAACGGUAUAUAGCUUGCACAUUAAUUCUAAAUCAAUCAAUACCAGAUUUAUUCCGAAUUUACCCUUUCUGCAUUUGAUCCAAAUUGUGUAUUUGACUGCCCAAUAGCUUGAAUAAUGCCCACAAUGCCUUGUCUUCUCUCCAAGCCCAAUUCAUGAUGUCUUGCAUUUUGAAUUGUAUUUUCAAUCCAUUUUUUCUCAAUUAAUCCAUUUAAUGCAGCUUGCAUCUUUUUGGCUCUAGUUCUUGUAAUUGGGCCUCCAUGAAUGUGCAAAGGAUCACUUGAAGCUUUAAUGGUAUUCCCUUGAUGGUUCUCAUCAUUCCCCCUCUCUUCAAAAGGAUUCGUCCUCGAAUCUUCACCUACAUCGAAAGGAGAAAGAUCAGAAACAUUAAAAGUAGCACUUACAUUAUACUCACCAGGAAGAUCCAAUUUGUAGGCAUUGUCAUUGAUCCGUGCAACCACUUGAAAUGGACCAUCUCCCCUUGGAAGCAACUUGGAACGCCUUUGUGCUAGGAACCUCUCCUUUCUCAUAUGCACCCACACCCAAUCUCCAGGCUGAAAAACCACUUGCUUACAUCCUUUGUUGGCUUGAGUAGCAUAUUGUUCAGUUCUCUUUUCUAUGUGUUGUCGCGUUCUCUCAUGCAAUUGCUUGACAAAUUCAGCUUCUUUUUACCAUCCAUACUAGCACGCUCAUCAAUAGGUAAAGGUAAUAAAUCCAAAGGAGUUAAUGGAUUAAAACCAUAUACAAUCUCAAAUGGUGAAAAUUUAGUAGCUGAAUGGACAGUUCUGUUGUAAGCAAAUUCAACAUGUGGCAAACAUUCUUCCCAAGUUUUCAAGUUCUUUUGAAUAAUGGCACGCAACAAAGUAGACAGAAUUCUAUUUACAAACUCAGUUUGUCCAUCAAUUUAUGGAUGACAAGUAGUAGAAAACAAAAGUUUAGUACCCAACUUACCCCACAAAGUUUUCCAAAAGUGGUGCAAGAACUUAGCAUCUCGAUCUGAAACUAUGCUCCUUGGUACUCCAUGCAAUCUGACUAUUUCCUUGAAAAAUAAAUUAGCUAUGUUUGUUGCAUCAUCAGUUUUGUGACAUGGAAUGAAAUGUGACAACAAAAACAUAAUCCUUUCCCCUUUUUGACCUAGGUAAACCCAAAACAAAGUCCAUAGAAAUAUCAACCCAAGGUUCACUAGGUAUGGGUAGAGGGUUAUACAAUCCAUGGGGUAAAACUCUAGACUUAGCAUGUUUACAAGUGAUACACUUCUCACAUAUUCUUUCAACAACACGUUUCAUAUGUGGCCAAAAGAAGUGUUCUUUUAAAACAUCUAAAGUCUUUGCAAUGCCAAAAUGUCCCAUUAAACCUCCCCCAUGAGCUUCACGCACAAGCAAUUCACGCAAAGAACUAUUAGGCAUACACAAUUUAUUUUCUCUAAAUAAGAACCCAUCAUGCCUAUAGAACUUACCGAAUGAAACUUUCUCACAAGGAUUAAACACAUUAGCAAAAUCAGGAUCAUUAACAUAUAAUUCUUUAAUGUACUCAAAUCCUAACAACUUUGCAUUUAAUGUAGAGAUAAGUGCAUAUCUUCUAGAUAAUGCAUCAGCCACCACAUUCUCCUUACCUUGUUUGUAUUUGAUCACAUAGGGAAAUGGCUCAAUAAAUUCAACCCAUUUGGCAUGUCUCUUAUUCAACUUACCUUGCCCUUUCAAAUGCUUCAAGGACUCGUGAUCAGUGUGUAUAACAAACUCUUUAGGUAGAAGAUAGUGUUGCCAAGUUUCUAAUGCUCUCACCAAUGCAUACAUCUCCUUGUCAUAUGUAGGAUAGUUUAGGGCUGCUCCACUCAAUUUCUCACUAAAAUAAGCAAUUGGACGCCCUUCUUGCAUCAAAACAGCUCCAAUACCUAUACCUGAAGCAUCACACUCAAUUUCAAAAGUUUUAGCAAAAUCGGGUAAAGCGAGUAAUGGUGCAGAAACCAAUUUCUCCUUAAUUAGAUUAAAUGCCCUUUCUUGUUCACUACCCCACUUAAAUCCCACAUGUUUCUUCACAAUUCCAGUCAAUGGUGCAGCAUGGGUGCUAAAAUCUUUCACAAAUCUUCUAUAAAAACUAGCCAAACCAUGAAAACUUCUUACCUCACUUACACUUUUAGGUGUAGGCCACUCUUUAAUAGCCUUUACCUUCUCUUCAUCAACCUCAAUUCCUUUAGCACUUACAACAUAACCAAGAAAAACAUUCUGAUUUGUACAAAAGGAACACUUCUUCAAAUUAACAUAUAACUUUUCCUUCCUUAAAACAGUCAAUACAGUUUGCAAAUGUUCAAUGUGUUCAUCUAAGCCUUUGCUAUGGAUCAAAAUAUCAUCAAAAUAGACAACUACGAAUUUACCAAUAAAAGCACGCAAAACAUGGUUCAUUAACCUCAUAAAAGUGCUAGGUGCAUUAGAUAACCCAAAUGGCAUCACUACCCACUCAUAUAAACCAUAUUUUGUUUUAAAGGCAGUUCUCCACUCAUCUCCCUCUCUAAUCCUAACUUGAUGAUAUCCACUUUUAAGAUCAAUUUUACUAAACACACAAGAACCAUGCAAUUCAUCAAGCAUGUCAUCAAGUCUAGGAAUAGGAUGUCGAUACUUUACAAUGAUUUUAUUAAUUGCACAACAGUCAACGCACAUCCUCCAUGUGCCAUCCUUUUUGGGCACUAGUAAAACUAGUACCGCACAUGGACUCAUGCUCUCCCUCACAUAUCCCUUUGCCAAGAGUUCUUCAACUUGCCUUUGAAGCUCCUUUGUCUCCUCAGGGUUACUUCUAUAUGCGAGUCUAUUAGGAAUGGUAGCUCCAGGGACUAAGUCUAUUUGAUGCUCAAUUCCCCUAAUAGGUGGCAAACCAUUAGGGACUUCAUUUGGAAACACAUCAUCAAAGUCCUGCAAAAGAGUCACAAUAGCACUAGGUAAAGAAAAGUUAAGCUCAUUAGUAUGUAAACAAGCCUCUUUGCACAAAAGUACAACGAUAGGCUGUUUUGAAAAGAAAGUCCUCUUAACCUCGCUCUCUUUUGCAAACAAGUUCACUUGCUGCCUCUCUUUGCUCUCAACAAUAUUUUUUUCUAUCUUUUCACUUGUUUUUCUCUCAAUCUCUCUUUCUUUUGUACUCUCAUUUUCUUUUUUUUGUAUCACUCUCUUUUUGUAUUGACAUUUGAUCCUCAUACACUUGCCUAGGUGUUAAUGGUGCAAGAGUGAUUUACUUUUUAUUCAUUACAAAAGAAUAUCUAUUUAAGUAACCAUCAUGUGUCACACGCCUAUCAUAUUGCCAAGGUCGCCCCAAAAGAAUGUGUCCAGCAUGCAUGGGUAUUACAUCACAUAGAACUUCAUCCUUGUAUCUCCCAAUAGAGAAUGAAACCAGCACUUGUUUAUUUACUUUAACUUCCCCACAAUCAUUCAGCCAUUGUAGCUUAUAUGGCCUAGGAUGUUUCAAAGCUUUCAAAUUCAAUUUUUCAACUAAACUAGUGCUAGCCACAUUAGUACAACUUCCACCAUCAAUUAUCAUACUACAUACCUUGUCUUUGAUGUGGCAUCUAGUAUGAAAGAUGUUAUCACGUUGUACCUUUGCAUCUUCUUUUACUUGCACAUUGAGAGCACGCCUAACAACCAUCAAUUUACCAUCAACACGAUACUCUACACCAUCAUUAGCAUCCUCCAAAGGUGGCAUAGGUUCAUCAUCUGAUUCACUCUCGGUUUCAACAUCUCCAUCAUCCCUCAAGAUCAUUACUCUCUUAUCUGGGCAUUGAGAUGCAAUGUGACAUGUCCCCAAACAUUUAAAACACUUAAUAUCUCUAUUUCUAGAGUGUUGGGAAUCAGAUUUACCUUUGCUUUGGUUGCCUUUUCAUCUUUGCUCCAUUUUGACUUCCAUGAGGAAGAUGAACCCAAAUUGGUUCUAGUGGAACCUUUCUUUUUCAGUUGUCGUUCCACUUUCAUGGCCAUGUGAACCAUGUCUUCCAACUCAACAUAGUGCUGCAAGUCAACCACAUUAGCAAUAUCUUGAUUUAAACCAUAUAAAAAUCUUGCCAUAGUGGGCUCUCGUUCUUCUUCAAUGUUGGCUCGAAUCAUGAUUAUUUCCAUCUCCUUGUGGUAAUCUUCCACACUUCUGGAACCUUGUGUAAGACUUUGAAGCCUUUGGUGCAACUCCCUAUAAUAAUGACUAGGAACAAAUCUCCUCCUCAUGAUGACCUUCAUCGCCUCCCAAGUGUUUAUAGGCCUUUCACGAUUUCUUCUCCUACUCAAAACAAGUUGAUCCCACCAAAUAAUAGCAUAAUUAGUAAAUCAACAGUAGCUAGUUUUACCUUUUUCUCCUCAGAGUAGUUGUGGCAAUCAAAUACUAGCUCCACCUUUUUUUUCCACUCCAAAUAAACUUCCGGAUCAUUUUUACCUUGAAAAGAAUGAAUUUUUAGUUUGAUACUCCCCAAAUCAUGAUCUAUACGUCUUGCCCUUCUAUCAUCUCUUCCACGCAUGUCAACAGUGGCCUAGUCAUCAAAAUUAUCUAAGUCAUCACCAUCUUCUUCUCCCAUGGCAACACGCCCUUGAUUACCUCUUACAUUAGGAGCUAUUGGUUGUUGCCCCCUUUGUAGAUUGGCUAUGACAGUGUCUUGCCUCUCUAAUUUGUCAUGGAUCUCUCCAAACAUCAGAUUCAUGCGCUCAAAUUGUUGUUGCAUGGCCUUGAGCAUAAUUGAUUGGUCUAUAGCUUCUUGAUCUUUUGACAUAUUUGUGAUUUGAAAAGAAUGUUAGCAAAAAGACCUCACAACACUCCCUCACGUGUUUCACUCAAUUUGAUGUCACUUAACUCUCGUGUUUAACACACAAAUUGGCUUUUUCCCUCUAAUGAUCUCACACAAUUUUGCCUUUUACCACACUUAAUUCUCUCUUUCAAUUCUUUAUUGAACUAAAUAAACACAAUCAAGAAAAAAAAACCAAGUGGCACACCAAAUAUGACAAUCCAGCACACUAACAAAGAAAAGAAAUUAAGAGAACACAAAGAAUGAAAAGGGAAUUGAAGGAAAGCAAGCAAGCGAAGCAACACAAUUGAUAUUGUGUGUAAACAAUGUCAAGGAAAAUGAAUAACUAAAAUUCAAUUUGAUGAAAGUAGAAAUACUUGAAUCCUUUUGUAAUCUUUUUUUUUGUAAGUUUUUUUUCUCCUUUUUUUUAUAAUCAAAAUAAAUAAGACAUUCAAACUUGAUUAGAACUUGGCUCUAAUACCAAAUGAUACGAAAUCUCACAAUGAAACUUUGAAACUCACACUUAAAUUAUAGUUUCAACUUCCCAAGAAAGUUCUAAACAGAUUUAUGACAAACAAAACCUUGACCCAAUGCUUAAGAAAAGCAUGAACCGAAGGUAUAGAGAAUGAUAUUGAUGCCCCACUCAAGAAAUAGAUGAGAAGGUGAGUGAUAAGUCUAAAUUUGGAAUGCCACAAGAAUGCAAAUUCUUGAUAAGUUCACUAGUUCUCAAAAGAACCAAAGAAAGAAUAAUCUUUCAAAUUCAAAUAACAUUAAUCUCUUAAUUGUCAUACAUAGCAACCCAAGAUCCUGAAAAUACAAAUGGAAACAUUGGAACAACCCUCCAAGUAUAUGUUUGUCAAAGGGUGCUUUAAAAACCUUCACCAACGCACCAUUAUUAAUGAUAGACUUACCUAACACAUUGAUAAACUUGACACAAAACAAACAAAUGAAGUUCAAUAAUCAAAGGAGCCGUUUGAAUUCCCAAGCCUGAACAAGCUGUAAUAAAUUGAUCAUAACUCCUUCUAGAGAACUCCAAAUCCAGCUCAGUAAAAUGCAUUGGAAAGCUAACUUAAUUAUCUUUCAAACGGUAUAUAGCUUGCACAUUAAUUCUGGCUCAAUCAAUACCAGAUUUAUUCCGAAUUUGCCCUUUCUGCAUUUGAUCCAAAUUGUGUAUUUGGCUGCCCAAUAGCUUGAAUAAUGCCCACAAUGCCUUGUCUUCUCUCCAAGCCCAAUUCAUGAUGUCUUGCAUCUUGAAUUGCAUUUUCAAUCCAUUUUUUCUCAAUUAAUCCAUUUAAUGCAGCUUGCAUCUUUUUGACUCUAGCUCUUGUAAUUGGGCCUCCAUGAAUGUGCAAAGGAUCACUUGAAGCUUUAAUGGUAUUCCCUUGAUGGUUCUCAUCAACCUUAUCAUAUUUUUAAAUUGAUUUUUAGUGAUUUCUUUCCCUGCAAUUAAUUUUCUUUGUUUAACAAAUUGACUACUAGAUUUUAAAUUCCCUAUGGUUCGACCCCGGACUGACUGGAUUAUAUUAUAACUAGACACUCUUAUACUUAGGAGUAAUAAAAUUUUUGAGUCGUGUCAUUAUGCAUACAUGAAGGUAUCUUUUGAUUUAAACCUCCAUUUAUAAAAAGCAUUUUAAAGUAUUAAUGAAGACAUAUGUAGCUAUAGCUCCUUAAUACAGUCUCCUUAUUGCUGAUACUGAAUAUACACACAAUUAAUAUCUUAUUUCCCUAAGAUGUUUUCUUUAUUUUAGCACUAUUAUAUGGCUUUGUGUUUGGUGUCAUAAACAUUGACAACAACAAACCUUUAAACACUUGCUAGAAGCAGCACUACUUCUAUGUUAAUAUAGAUGAAGUUCCAUAAUAUGUCUCUGCUACUUUGACACCUAAACUAAAUUUGAACUUCAUUAGGAGUGAGCAAUUGACAUCUUGGAUUUUUAUUUUUUAUUUUGAAGUUAAAUGUAGUGCUCAUACUUGUGAGGUACAAUUUUCUUAAAUAUAGUAGAAUUUAUUUUUUUUAAGCUAACAAGCCCCUUGAGUUUAUAAUAUUUAAUUUUAAGGAAUGAUGACAUAAGAAAUGAUGACAUAAGCGAUGACAUAAGCAAUGAUGUAAGAAGAAGUGUAGAGAAAGUUAAAGAAUUCUAGAAUUUAGUAAGUUAUUUAUGAAGGUUAAUCUCAACCAUUGAUCAAGAAUUAUGGUGGCAAAAUCCUAGCCAUCCAUUAGCCUUAAGAAAUCCUAUAAAUAGCCCCCACCACCUCUCAUUUUCAAUGCAACCUAGAAAUUUCAUUUCCUUCUAUUCUAAGUCAUAAUAACAAGAGUAGAGGAAUCCUUAACUUAGAAAGGUCUAGAGAAGUCAAGAUCAAGAGGUAAGUAACACUUCAACUGCAAUGUAAGGACAAAAUUACUUUUAUACUUAAGAUCAGUUUUAAUAAUCCCUUUAUAUUAUGAUGGUUGUUAUAGUGUGAUUAGUUAUAUUCUAAAUCUUUAUAUGGUCGGCCCUGCCGCCUAAUAUGUGAUGCUAUGGUCGGCUCUACCGCCUAAUAUGUGAUGUUAUGGUCAGCUCUGUCACCUAAUAUGUGAUGCUAUGGUCGGCUCUGCCGCCUAUUAUGUGAUACUUAUACUUAAUUAAGCUAUGGUCGGCUAUGCCGCCUAUACUAAAGACUCUUGUUUUCAAAUAAUGUUGUGAGUUGAUUUUGUUAUGCAUCGAGGAAUUUCAAAUGUUAUAAGUUACAUUGGAUGCAUGCAUAUCAUGUACAACAUUAUGAAGAAGACAUUUCAGAAAAUGAAUUUAUGAAAAAUAUGUGGUUGUACUAUCAGGUGGCAAAGUUCUAAGGAGGGCAAGCCCUCAAAGCUAAGUUGAGAGAAAUCUUUUGGGGACGGCGAUACGUAACGCCCAAAAGAUCAACUAAUAUUGUUUAAAGAGUAAAAGUGUCAGCCUUGUAGUGCAACAUACCUAGGGCCCAAAAAAAGUUGUUUUGUAUUUCUAAGUUUAUUUUAAGAAUGGUCAUUCAUAUGCAUCAUAAUUUAUACAUGCAUCAAAGUGUUAUCUUACUGGGCAUUAGCUCACUAAGUCCUUACAUUGCAGGUAACGAUGAGUAGGGCAAGCUGGCGCCAAGUCCUAACCAAGACGAAGUGCAUAUGGGCAUAACCGACCUUGGGAUUUUAUGAUGGGCUCAACUUUGUGUUAAUAA
rnacentral:lncRNA from 1 species